rnacentral:lncRNA from 1 species
AGAAACCCUUCAUUAUCCUCUUCAGCAACCCUAACCAACCUCUCCAAAAGCUUCUGCUUUUCUUUAAAAGCAAGAUCACCAACAUCAACUUCAUGAGCACCUCCAUGAGAAGCUGUCAACAAACCUUUUCUUAGACGAUUGUAAGUAGGUAGUUUUUCAAGUGCAGCCCAUUUGAGAGCUUCUUCAUCAUCUUCUUCACGUGAUGAUUUAGAGAAAACCUCAACUCCACUCUGUCUCCAAACAGUUGAACUUCUUGCUCUUAAACUAUUAGUAGCUCUGUAUAUAUCAGUCCCUUCCAUUUUUGCUUUGUUCAACAGCCUCAACACAAGCUUGUGUUUCUUAUUUUUCUUUUCAAGGCAAUACUGUUAUUAUGAAUUGAACCAAAACAUUAAACUAAAUGGAGUGUCGAAUAAAAUGAAAGAAUCAAAGAAUGAUGAAAGGAAAAAACUUGUUGUAUUGAUGUUUCUUUGUGGCAAAGGAAAUGAAUAUGGAAUGAGAAAACAUGUUUGUAUUUAUACCUUUGAUGCCAAAGAAGUGGCGGCUAUGGAGAGUCAAAUGUUGAAAUUUACGUGUUUUUUUAGUAAUAAAAAAAGUACUAGAAGGGACAGGAGAGAAAUAUAUGUCAAAUGGUCAAAUAAUGAAGGAGGACUAGACUAGGCAUCUUGGUUGGCCAUCAUGAGGAAACUUCGUCCUACAUAUUAAGGUGUAAUAUAUUUUCCAUAGAUAUUAUAGGACUAAAACAAGGCGGCCAAGGCCACUCAUUGAUAUUAUACAGUAAAAAUAAUAGAGAAAUAAAAACAAUAAAUACUAAUAAGAAUCAAAGAAAAAACAAGAGAUUUAAUCAUGGCUAUUAAACACCUUCUUCGUAGAGAGUAGGUGGUUAGUUUACGACAUACUUUGUGUGAGGGUAACGCUGCAACUGAUUUUUUAGCUAGAAAGGGUGCUCUUAGUGAUAGUAGCCUUGUUAUUUUGAAUGAAACCCCUCCUGAUAUGGCCUCUGUCCUCUUAGCAGAUGCCAUGGGUGUUGAGUUUAUUCGACCCUAGUAUGGAUGGGUCUUUUUUAGCUUUUUUUCCCUUUUUUUUCCCCUUUUGUUACCAAAAAAGAAAAAACAAGAGAAUAAAAUUCCAGCUCAAAAAAAAAAAAACACAAAAGAAUAACAUUUCAAUAAAAAAAUGGUAGUUAGGAAUCAACCAAAAGUAUCUAAGCAGCGACGUCAUUCGCUUGCAUUUUUUUUUUGUACACAUUUCUUUUCAUGUUUCAAAAAACAUAAUGUUUGAAAAGUUGGAAAUUCACAGGUUUACUGUUUUAUAGUCCUCACUUCCAAAAUAUAGACUGCUAGAACAAUCAUAACCUUGACAUUUGACUCGUAUAUAUAUUUUUUGGUCCAAACAUAUUUUUUUGACCGAAAAAAAAUCAGUAAUUUGAUAAUUUUUUUUAUAGUCUAUUUUUAGACAAAAUACACUAUAAAGAAGUGUGCUUAUGGUAAAUCACCUUUUAUUUUUCACUCAAAUAAAUUACUGGGCUUGAUGUGCCUCCUUUCUUACUCGAAAAUAGAAACAAAAGUGAAAAUCUUAAAGCAAGAGAAAAAAUAUAACGUAGAAUAUGUAACUAUUCUGCAAAAAUAAUUUAUGUGCAAUUCUAUAUACUAUUGCAGUCUUACACCAAAAAGUUCUUUAUUUGCAGGAUUAGGUGCACCAUCACAAAGGCGUAAAGGUUCAAAUUGUUGGAUCAUUAAAUGCAGGAACUGCAUACUUUGACCGGUUGCAAAUCUUUAUAAGAAAACUUGAAAGUCAAGUCAAACACAUAAUAUACAUAGUCCCUAUCUAAAUAAGCAUUUAUCCUAAGCGCAUGUAUAAGUUAUUUUUAUAACAAAAUAUAAAAUAAAUGUAAACAUGACAGACAUCAUACGAUGAAUGUUUCGAAUUUUUUUAACUAAUUAAUCAAGAAAAUCACAGUUGUGGAUGCGCCAGUGAAGCAUGAUCACAAGAACCGGCAAAGCUCCUGAAUAAAUAAAGAACACAAAAGAAGACACAUUUUUGUUUUGUUUUGAGAAAGCAAAAUAUUAUUAGCCCUUCUUUAGCGUGAGAAAAAAAGACACAUUUUUGUUUUGUUUUGAGAAAGCAAAAUAUUUGUAGCCCUUCUUUGGCGUGAGAGGUGGUAAAGAUGAAUAGAAAAAACAAUCCGUGAUCAAAUCAACAAUACAAGAGGAAACAAUCAGCAGCCUAACAAGUAAACAAGCUCACAAAGAACACAAAAGUCUGGAAAACAAAUACCCUCUAAAGGCCAAAACCCCGUACCGCACACACCCACAAGAAAACCCAAUUAUCACACAGCUUGCUACAGAACCUAUCCUGCUCCAUAGACUACUGGAGACACGAACUUUCACAUUAAUUCUAGAAAUGCAUCGUAGGCUUCAAGGAAGAGAAAAACAAACCUGGUGGACUGAACGGUGAUCGUCAAGCAUCAUAGUUUUCUUGUCAUGUCUGAACAGAACCUUCAACAAACUAUUGGAUGGUUGAGAACUCAUACUAAACUUGUGAUUUAAUAAAGAUUCAUAACACUUCAUAGCUUUCAUAGCUUCCUUAGGCUGACCAUCAUUAAAAAGCCAGUCCAUAAAUGUUGCAUUCAAAAUACCGUCAUAAGAGUUUGGACAGUGCUACUUAAGGUCGUCGAAGAGCAUGCUUGCUUUAUAUAAAUAUCCAACUUCAAGUAAACCGAAGUACACCAGUGUCCCCCCUCUUGAGGUACACCCUCCUAGAUUCUUCACAAAAACAAAAAAAAAAAAUCAAAAUAAAAUAAAAAACAAGCAGUUUUAUACAAAAGUUAGGACAAAUUACACUUACCUCCCCAAAAGUUUCACACAUACACCCCGCCUAAUUUUAUAGUGGACAAUAACCACCCCCAAGAUCUCUUAAAUCAAUAGAAACCUUCCUUUCCAACUUAACACCGUUACCUUUUCUGUUAAAACUAAAAGAACUAGUAUUUUUUGUCUGUUGAUGAAAACAAUAUUUCUUGAUUAAACUAGCUAAUAUUCCUGCCAUUGUUGGAAGCUUUACAAAUAUUUAUUUAUUUUUGUGAUAGAUGACACACUCCAUCCCUCACUUAAACGUAAGUUUGCUGAUAAAAUUAAAGCUUUCUCUUUUAAUCUGUCAUUGUUGAUUUGUGUGAACCGGAACUACCUCUAAAACCAAUAAAUACUACAAGCCUGAAUAUUACUAAAACCUCUAAACCAGAAAAUAAAUAAAUGCUAUCAAUUCAAUAUAUGCAUUGUAGGCUUCUUCAAGGUAGAGAAAAACAACCUGAUCCACUAAAUGGUGAAUCGGAGUUGACAUCCAUGGCUGUCCAGCAUAAGCCAUUUUAACUUUAUGGAAUUUGGGAGCAAAUAGAAUGUUCUGGAUAUUAAAAAAAGUCGAUUAGUUUCUAACUCAUUACAUGGGAUGUCUCAUUUUCGAACUAGUAAUCUUUAGAAUUUAAAAAUGAGUUAAUUAACCUGAUGUCUCUUAUAAAGAACAAGCGAUCCACCUGCAAGUGCGUAAGAAAGACUUUAGCCACACAAUGCAGUUCAAUAUGCAAUAAAUUGUUUUCAAGCAGUCUUUGUUGUGGUAAUAUUGUUAGAAAAAAAUAUAAAAUGAGAUGAAAAAUAUAAAUGGGCUCCCUUGUUUCUUUUGCUGGUGUUCACAUUAACGAUAGUGUCCACCCUCUUGAAGAACACCCUCGUAGAUUCUUCACCCAAAUAUAUAUAUAUAAAGUUUCUUUAGAACAAAUUAACAGUUUGAUAUAGAAUUUAGAACAAAUUACACUUGCCUCCCCUAAAGUUUCUUUAAAUGACACAUACACCCCACCUAGUUUUUUAGUGGGCAAUAACCACCCCUAAGAUCUCUUAAACAGACUAGCUUAUUGCUGCCAUUAGUGCACACUCCAUCCCUCUAAUACCAAUAAAAAUAAAUAAAGUGCAUUUGGUUGUUAGUUUAGAAAAAUGUUACCUAAUUAAUCAAGGAAAUCACAGUAGAAGCAGAUCACAUGAACGGACAAAGCUCCGGUGACCGGAAAUGGUAGACAAGCAUGAUGCAGUGAAUAACUCUGGCAACGUGAGAGAGAACAGAUCUGAACAGAUUGAUGGCGGGUGAGGACGAUGGUGGUUGACAAUGGAGGGAGCGCUGGUGAAGAAGACGGUGGUGGAAGACGGUGGUGUUGGAUGGUGGUGUGGGGAGGAAUAGAGAAAACGCAGAGAGAGUUUUCCGACAUUUGUAACAAUCUUUUUCUAUUAUAUUCACGUUAUGUUUUUAGUUUAUAUUUUUAUUUCUUUAAUUUUUGUGCCAAUAACUCAUUUUUUUUUUUUUUUAAAUAAUUAUUUUAAAAGUUGUCAUAUAAAUGGAUGUUCAAAUGACACAACUCAAAAAAAUAUUAUAAAUUGAUUUAUAAAAUUAUCUUUAAUAAAUUUACAGAAUUAAAAUAAAAGAAAAUAAUAAAUAGUUAAUGGCAUAAUUUGAGACGUUUAGUAUUUUAAUUUUUAAACCAUAUUUAUUUCUUCUUAUAACUUAUUCAAACUCCACCACGAAUAAACCAUAUCUAAUUCUUCAUAUUCAACUGCAUUUAGUUAUGGGGAACGAAUAGCUCAACCGAUUUAAGAUAGGCUUAAUUACACUUUUGGUCCUUCCAUUUUGAUCAACUCACAAAAAUGAUCCUACCUUUUUUAAAUCGAACAAAAUUGUCCUUAAAUUAUAUGUUUUUUGCAGUUUUAGUCCUAUCUCCCUGUUUCCAACUCCAGAAACGCACAGAAAUGACAGUUUUAGUCCAAUCACCUAUGCUCAACCAUGAAGUAAACAAGGAAUAAAACAUGUGGGUACAAGGAAUCUACUUUAUUCAGCACACUAAGCUAAUUUUCGAGACAUAUUACAUACCUGAAACAUGUCUUAGAAAUUAGAGUUUUUCUUGGUUUGUGUGCUGAACAAGUAGAUUCCUUUUACCCACAUGAUUUAUUCCUUGUUUAUUUUAUGGUUGAGCAUAGGUGGUUGGACUAAAAUUAUCAUUUUUGUACGUUUCUGGAGUUGGAAAUAGGGGGAGAUAUGACUAAAACUACAAAAAACAUAUAGUUUAGGGACGAUUUUGUUUGAUUUAAAAAAGGUAUGACCAUUUUCGUGAGUUGGUCAAAAUGCGAGGACAAAAAGUGUAAUUAAGCCUUUAAGAUAAUGAGUUGGAAAUCCUAGUUCAAAUCCAAACAAAGGAUAAAAAACUAAUUUAACAACUAAACACUAACAUUUUGUCAUUGAAAAAAGAAGAAGCUGCGUCUAGUUCCAUAACAUGGUUUGGACUAAACAGCUUGGGGAGUAUAUGUCGCCUCUAUUUGAUCAGCAAAAUGAAAGGCAAAGGGGACAACACUUCAGCAAUAGGAACCCAUGGAACUCCAACAAGGAAGAUUCUUCCAGAAUUUUCAUUUUAAUACACAUUGGAAGAGUGCAAACAAUGCUAUAUUUACAUGCACGGUCUAUAAUAGAGAAUAUCAAUUGAAUUAGUGUUUAUAUAAAACUGAGUUCUGAAAAAACUUUUUAUUUACUAAAACUAGUUAGCGGGGUAUAACACUGCAUACACAUAAUUUUGCAUAGAUUCCUUCCUUGACUAGGAAAAUUAAGUCUAGAUCACUUGAUAGAUUGACAGCUCAGGCAUAUCUUCUAGCAUUCAAAUUCAGCAUUGAGAGUGCAUAUCAAUUAUCAAGAGAAGAAGAAAUAAGAACUCAAGUGAUUAUAAAAGGUUGGCCUCAAAAUAUAUUUCAAUGACAACUCAAAUUAAUACAACAAAAGUAUUACAUCAUUUAUAUGCUUGUACAUGUAUCAAAAGAAACUGCAAAUUGGCAGUAGGGUGAAAUAAAAUUCCUAUCAACUACUGCAUGUAAGAUGGCUACAACAAAUACAAUAUGAGCAAAUGAAAAUUUGGGGAGGAAAAUAAAAAAUAAAAAGAAUCUUUCUUGUUGGAAAAAGAGUGCAAACUAUCUCUUUUGGAAGUUAAAGGACUUGAUUGCAACAGCGAAAAUAAAGGCAAAGCCCACGGCAAUUCCACCGACCACAAGUGCACACCAUCCUAUGAAGUCGUGUUGGAUACCAAAAAAGUCGUCAAGGAAAGUCUUUACAUCUUUUCCGCCUUCGGUCGACAUAACAGUAGUUAUAUCUCCAAAUUGAGAUGCAACCAAUCCAUAGAUGGUCCAUGCAACUGGACAUGCCCAAUAGUACCAUCUCCACCAUAUUGGAAUGCUCUGUUAUCAAAAGGCAAGAAAAAACAGUUAGGAUACAUAUAACAUACAUCCAUUGAAAAAGUCUUUCACAAUGUACUCUAUACAAAUACUUACAGGUCUCGGGACGACAAAUCCUGAAAAGAGAUUCCAAAUUGCAUAAAAUGCAGCAGCCACAAUAGAAGCAACAUGGUGAUUUGGUGUCACUGCCACAGCCAUCAUACCAUAGAAGGUGAAGUAGAGCAAUGUGAAGUACAUGAAGAAUAGAUACCACAAGAAUUUCUCUGCGGUCCAGUCAAAUCCAAUCAUGGCAUAGACUAUAACUCCAUAUAUCACCGCUUGAGCAAAGACAUAAGGUAGCUCUACCAAAAUCUGCGACAAAAAGGGUGUUGUUAAUAUUAGAUUUUCAAGUUUUCAAACUCAAUUAAGUAAUAAUCAUUUCAGCAGCGUAAACAACAAUAAUAGUUACCUGUGAAAAUGCAUAUGGUAAGGCAGAAUACAUUCCAGCAGCCUUUUCUCGAUAAAAUACAGUCCUUUCAACUGCAACCACCGGCUGCACAGAAGAAGAAUUUUGUACUCCAAGGAAGAGAACAGCGGUAUACAUUGAACCAACAGCGUUCAACAGGUCUUGUCUACUUGAGCUGCAAGUCACCAAAAGGAAUUAGAAUUACAGUGUAGAUAAAUAGAGAGACGGCAAUAUAAUAUUUGGCGAAUAAUAUGAACUUAAUUUUUAACUAUAAAUAGUUUAACUUACUGUUUUCCACCGAGGUCCCAGAACAUUGUUCCAAACAUCAAGCCUAUGAAGGUAGUGAAGAAAAACCUCACAGCAGUGUAUGGUGGAUUACGCCAAUAUGACCAACGUUGUUUCCAUAAGCAGGCCUGGCAUUGAACCAAGAAAGACUGCGAGAAUUGAGUAGGGAAAUGAAGAUCCUUUGAACCAGGAGCAGGCACGCUAAGUUCUUGAAUAAGUUGCUUGUUUCUCCUGAAGAGUCGAACCAAACAAUUUAAGCAUGUUGCAAAUCAAGAAAACAAACAUGGCACCAAUAGCUACUAUAGUUUAUAGAUUCAUAUCCAUAUCCAUAUGCAUUAGUUUACCUAUAUAAAUCUGAAUUUUUGUACAAAUCGGUAAAGUCAACACCCAAAUUAAGUUCUUGUGCUGUAGUUGUAACUUCCAACAUCCAUGUUGCUGGGUUAUAUCCAUCUUUGAUUUUACUAACUCCGUCAAUGCUCUGGACAAUGAAAGUUAUUUGAAAACUUCAGUAACCAGUUACAAUCAAGAAAGAGAGUCAUUCACUUAAGGUAAUAUUAAACUAAAGUAGGAUCCUACCUCGAAAUACUUGAUCAAAUGAGUAGAAUGACGACCCAGUGGUCCAACAUAUAUUUCUUGUCCUCCACGCUUCAUAAGGAAUAGCUAGAAGUGCAUAUGGAUAAUGUCAGAUUCAAGUCUAAUGAAGAGGAAAAGAACUAUAAAAGGAAGCUUCAUUUGUCAUUGAUAUUUAUUAUGAUUAUUCACUACAUACCUCAUCAAAUGCUUCAAAUAUGUCAAUGCUAGGUUGAUGGAUGGUACACACAACUGUUCUUCCCGUGUCCACUGUGUUCCUUACAGUUCGCAUAACAAUUGCAGCCGCUCUAGCAUCUAAACCAGAAGUAGGCUCAUCCAUGAAAAUUAUAGAUGGAUUAGCCACAAGUUCGACUGCAAUAGUCAGUCUCUUGCGCUGUUCAGUUGAGAGACCACUCACACCAGGCAAACCAACUAGAGAGUUCCUCAACGAGUUCAGCUCCACUAGAUCCAUGACUUCAUCAAUAAACAUCUGCAACCAUUUGUAAUGUUCAUUAAGUAAGGUCAACAAAUGUAAACAAAGCCACGCCGAAUAAAGCACGUGCUAACUAACCUUUCUGGUGUUGGAAUCAACUCCUGAAGGUAAACGAAGCCACGCCGAAUAAAGCAAAGACUCAUAAACUGUAACAUGCGGUGAAUGGAUAUCAUUCUGCUCACAGUAGCCAGAAAUUCUAGCAAAUGUUUCUUGCUUUUUAGGGUACCCAGAAACCUUGAUGUCUCCAUCAAUAUAUCCACCUGUUUUCCUACCAGCCAGAACAUCCAUCAGAGUUGUUUUACCAGCUCCACUUACACCCAUCAAAGCUGUGAGAACACCGGGCCUGAAUGCACCACUAACACCCUUCAAAAGCACUAAUCUGUCUUCUCUAACACCUUGCUCCUUCAUUUCCUGCCAGUUGAAAUAAAAGUCAUGUGAGAAAAGUUAUUAUUGUUUGAGAAAAUAUGAAUUGUUAAAGAUAUCUAAAAGCCGAACGUAUCAGUUUGUGCGAAUCUUACCACUGGCAUAUCAACAGAGUAUACAAUAUCAUCAAAAGUGAUAGAAUGUGGUUCAAAUGGAAGAACCAUUCCCUUUUUCUUUCCAUGGCUGGACUCUGUAACAGAAUCAGCUCUUCCUGAACUUUCUGAAAGACAAUAAGAAAAAUGUUCAGCUACUAAACUAUAUGAUAAACUACAAUAUGUUUGCCUUCAUGAGUGAUAUCUGAUAUGCAUAUAAUCAGGAAAGCUCACCAAUACGUGGUAAUUCAACUUCUUGUACGGUAGAUGAAUCAUCUUCUGAAUCUUCAGUUAUUGUUGCACUAGGCUUAUCAAAUGGGCCUAGUACAGCGAGAGCCACACCAAACGCCACGUUGAAAAGAAAGACAAAUCCAACCAAUCCCCCAACGCCUAUCCAAUACCAAUAUGCAUGUGGGAAGAACCCUCGGGUAUCGAGAUAAUCUUUUCCCAAAUCAGCAGUAGCCUAUAAUUAAGUAUAUAAAAUAAAUUAGGCUUGCAAAUUUCUCAAACAAAAGUAGAUGAAUUAUGAAGUUGCAAGCAAGCUCAAGUAAUUAAUUACAUUGUGCCAACUGUGCCCAAGAAAUUCAUUGGCCAUCAAAGCAUUCUGCCCAUACAUCAAAGGUGAGAUCCAGUAACCCCAAAUCCACCAGCCUUUGAUAUCCUCUGUUACAAUAGCAAUAAAAUGUAAGAAACAUUAAUUAGCUAAGGUUUCAUUUCCUUACAAAAAAUUAAAUUUAAUAAGAUUUUUAUCAUUUUUUGUUAAAAUUAAAUGUGUUAGUCAAUUUAACUUACUUCUUGAGAGAAUGAAGCCACCCAAUGACAGAAAUGUGAGAAGUGCAAAGGACCCAAAUGUAUUGGCAACAAUCAUGUUUCUACCCAGGGAUGCGAUGGCUCGGAACAAUCCUGAAGCCAUCUGACUCAUGAAAAACAACACAACGAACUGCUUGAACAUCCUGCCAAAAAUUCAAGACCUCACAUCAUAAGUAACACACAAAUGCAAACUAGAUAGUAGAAGUGACGUUCAAUACUACAUUCUCCAAACAGAAUAAAAGAAACUUCUUUUACCUUCCAACAUUUGGAUCAAAUCCAAUAACAUAGUAGGUAAGAAACACCCAAAGAGAAACUUCCAUUAAUGAAACGGGAAUCUUGAGAAUCCACGAAGGAAUAGCAUAUGCCCAUGAGGGAUAAAAUAGAAGGUCUCGUUGCUUGUAGUAAACAGGAAGCUUAGCAAUGGUCAUAGAAAUCUCAGACAUUCCAUUAAACAUCAUCGUUACUAGUGUGAAAAACAAAGCACCGGCAUAAACACCCGCAUCAUCCUGAUCAUUGCGAUGCAUCUCAGUCCGAAAAAACAGUGUCAUUGCUAUCAAUGCCAUGAUGAAAAGCUGAAAAACAAAGCAUGAAGAGUAAACAGUUAUGUCACAGAAAAUCAUGGUCAUGAAUGUAUAAAUGAAAAAGAAUUUCUAUUUCACUUAUAUAAAAGAGCGGGAUAGAUUCCAAACCUGAGUUAGCUUGAAGAUGUAAACAAACGAAUUCCUUUUCAUGAGCAAAUACUCUCUUGAGAAGUUAGCCUUUAAAAGCUCCGUCUUGUUGAGACCAUACUCUUUGGUGGUCAAAGCAGCUGGAUGGCUCUUCGUCUUGUCAAAUGGUACGGAAAGCUCCUCAGCAAGUUUCCUACCAAUAUGGAAGGAUUGAAACGCCUCAGCGAAUUGAGUAACAGUUACAAAUCUGUAUGGUUGAUCUCUGCGCACCCAGUACUGUGCUUGAUCCUUUUUGGAAGUUACUUCUUGAAGAAAGUCAGCAGCACCUUUCCUUUCAGGACAUUUGAAACCCAUUGUUUCAAAAAAGUCAAGAACAUAUUCGCGGGGGCCAUGGUAUACAACUUGGCCAUCAGAAAUUAAGAUAAUGUCAUCAAAAAGAUCAUAAGUCUCAGGUGCUGGUUGGAGCAGUGAUAUAACUGCAGUGCCAUUCAUAAUGUGAACAUAUUGUCUCAGAGAGCUCACAAUCUGAAAAGUAGUGGAACUGUCCAGCCCAGUAGAAAUUUCAUCCAUGAACAAUGCAUUGGCUGGUCCAACCAACAUCUCUCCUGUAGUUACACGCUUCCUCUGUCCUCCAGAGAUACCACGUAACAUUUCAUCUCCCACCAUGGUAUCCGCGCAUAUAUCCAACCCCAAAAUCUACAAAAUUAUACAAUAUAAAACUUAAUACCGUUGGCUUGUAAAAAAUUCAACAUACAACAUGAAACAUAACUUUAUUAUGGCAUGCAAGACAUGAUAAAGCCCAUGCAAGGACAAUGUAAAUUGGGAGUAACCAAUAAAAAAUGCAAUGAGUUUAAUUUUGAUACAUUGUCAAUUAAAAAGUUUUAUACUGUCAACUAAUCACUUUAUUAGUACUUAUGAAUAAAGUCGGACGUUUUUAUUGAACUGGCGAUUAUGAGAGGCUAAGUAUAAUAAUUGAACUAUAUUUAAGUCUUACCUUGAGUACAUAAUCUGUUGAAAUGCUAUACUCCUGACCUUCAGUUGCAAUUGCCUGUUAUAUCAAAAUAAAAUUAGAGAUGCAAAGAUAGUAUAGUAUAUCAAUUACUAUACCAUUACCGAUAUUGAUUGAUAAUAGCUUAUUUAAUGCAUACCUUCAUGUAGACAUCAAUAUCUGGGUCAGGCUUAAUGUUUGCUGCCUUCUCUCUUCUAGAAAGCUCGGAUAGCAUGUCUGUUGGAUCCCAAAAAUAAUUAACAAGUUAAGCUUUAGCCACAUUUCAAAUUAGAUUUUAAAAAACAUUAACUAGGUAGUAAAAAUAGACUAACCAUAACGUGAUCCAACUCCUUGGCACCUUGCUGAGAAAGCCAAGGUUUCCCUCACAGUCAUUUCUCCAAUAUGAACAUCAUGUUGGCUUAUAUAGGCAGCAGUUCUUUGAGGUACAAACUCAUUCAGUCCAUGGCCAUUGUAAGUCACACUCCCAGUUAGCUGUACAAAUUAAGCAUUCGGCAUCCAAGUUAGAUAAUUUUAGAUAUAAAGUUUACCACCUUUGAUCUACAAGUGAGUUAUAUGAUUUUAUUUACCUGGAGACUUGGAUCAAGCUUUCCAGAUAAGGCUAAAAGAAGUGUGGUCUUUCCUGAACCAGGAGGACCUAAAAGUAGUGUCAUCCUACGAGGUUUAACGAUUCCGCUAACAUCUUUAAGAAUUGACACAUGCCUCUUUUUGGUUGGGAUGAUAUGAAGAAAAUUCAAUACCCCCUGAAAAAAAAAGAUAUAUAUAUAUAUAUAUAUAUAUUUUUAUUUGGGAGACUCAACUGCAAAAAUAAAAAAAAUAGAAAUAGAAAAAGCCUUCAGCAUCAAUUUUCAGGUUCUGAUAUCUAUCCCUACCUCUACAACAUUAGUAGCAGCAUUAAUGAAACUAGGCAAAGCUCUACUUCCCACAAACGCUUCAGCAUCAAUUUUCAGGUUCUGGUAUCGAACUUCAAUUGUUGGAAUAUCAAGUCCAACUCUAUAAUGAGAAGAAAAAACACAAAACAUGUUGAGUUAUGAGAGAAAUAAGAUCAAAAGAAAACAAUGAAGCAAAAAAAGUACAUUUUCUAUAAUAGUUACCUAUCAACUCUUUCCUUGACCUUCAACAGAAACCUUUCAUUAUCCUCUUCAGCAACCUUAACCAACCUCUCCAAAAGUUUCUGCUUUUCUUGAAAAGCAAGAUCACCAACAUCAACUUCAUGAGCACCUCCAUGAGAAGCUGUCAACAAACCUUUUCUUAGACGAUUAUAAGUAGGUAGCUUUUCAAGUGCAGCCCAUUUGAGAGCUUCUUCAUCAUCUUCUUCUCGAGAUGAUUUAGAGAAAACCUCAACUCCACUCUGUCUCCAAACAGUUGAACUUCUUGCUCUUAAACUAUUAGUAGCUCUGUAUAUAUCAGUCCCUUCCAUUUUUGCUGUUAUGAAACAGCUUUAACACAAGCUUGUGUGUUUCUGAUUUUUCUUUUUAAGACAAUGUUAUUAUGAAUUGAACCCAAACAAUAAACUAAAUGAAGUGUAGAAUAUAAUGAAAGAAUGAAAGAAUGAUGAAUGGAAAAAAACUUGUUGUAUUGAUGUUUCUUUGUGGAAAAGGAAAUGAAUAUGGAAUGAGAAAACAUGUUUGUAUAUAUACUACCUUUGAUUCCAAAGAAGUGGCGGCAAUGGAGAGUCAAACGUUGAAAUUUACGUGUUUUUUAGAAGGGACAGGAGAGAAAUAUAUGUCAAAUGGUCAAAUAAUGAAGGAGGACUAGACUAGGCAUCUUGGUUGGUCAUCAUGAGGAAACUUCGUCCUACAUGACAUGUUAAGGUGUCUAACUUGUUGUGGGCCCUAUUCAGAGUAAAGUGCACGGCCUUCUCGAACAAAGUAGGUUCUAAACAUUAAAUCAAACUAUUAUGUGAUCACAUUCUUCAAAAUCAAUUCAUAAAACAUCUGCAAUAUCUAUUUUACAUUAAUGAUUACAUGCAUUUUUUUUUGGUAGAAAAGUUUUAUACUUUCGCUACAUAAAAAUUAAUCUUUGCAAAUAAUUCAAAAAAUGAAAUCAGGGCAAUAUAUUUUUCAUAGAUAUUAUAGGACUAAAACAAGUCGGCUUAAGCCAUAUUAUACAACGAAAAAUAAUAGAGAAAUAAAUACUACUAAUAAGAAUCAAAUCAAAGAAAAAACAAGAGAAUACCAUUCCAAUAAAAAAAACGGUAGUUAGGAAUCAACUAUAAUUAUCUCAGCAGCGACGUCAUUUCUUUUCAUGUUUCAAAAAACAUAAUGUUUGAAAAGUUGGAAUUUCACAUGUUUACUGUUUUAUAGUCCUCACUUCCAAAAUAUUGACAACUAGAACAAUCAUAACCUUGACAUUUAACUCGUGUAUAUUUUUUUUGCUCCAAACAUAACUUUUUUUUUCCAACCAAGUUUAACGGUUUUUUCUUGUGUGUAAAGUUUCACGGUUUUAUUGACCGAAAAAAAAAAAAAUCAGUAAUUUGAUCAUUUAUUUUGAUGGUCUAUUUAUAGACAAAAUACACUAUUAGAAGUGUGCUUAUGGUAAAUCACCCUUUUAUUAAUAAUAGUUUAGUAAAAGUGUUAUAUCUAAUGAUUAUUUCAUUCCAUUUUUUAAUCCGUGUGCAAAUUGGCUAAAGCGACAUUCAUUUUAAAACGGAGGGAGUAAUAUUUUUACGGGAGAGAGAGAGAGAGAAAAAAAAAAAUUAGUUGAAUUGACGUAUGUAUCACAGUUGCGUUGACCAAUGUCAUGUAACAUUCAUGCAUUUAUGGUACACAAAUGGAAUCCGUCGGUUAUAGAGUAAAUAAGAAAAUUCAUUUGAAAUUCCAAAAAAGGAAAAAAAAAAUCUUUCUUGAAAUCGUUAGAUGUUAAGCAACUUGUCUUCCGUAAGUUUUUUCUAUAUGUACGUGAAAGUUUAUUGUCUACGUGAUAUGACAUGUCAUGUCAGUCACAUUGGCAAUUUGAUUAGUUUUUUUUUUUUUAAUUUGAUUUUUUUUUAAAGAUUACGAGCAAAUUCUCUCUUGAAAUGGUAUACUUAUAUGCAAAAUUUGUCCUUUUGGUGACUCGAUUCGACUUGAGUGUAGAACUAAAAAAAUACAACUCUCUCCACGUAAAAGACCUCUCGUUCUUUCGGUAAAUGAUAAAAAAAGAAACUCACUCUAAAACUUUUUUUUCUUAACAUAGUUAGCUUGAUUGAUAUUUCAUUACUUUGUUUUCCCUGUAAAUUGAUAAUCAUCUUUGAAACAUGUCAGAUAUUAAAUAUGAAUAUCUCUCUUAUUUUAUAUUUAAACUUUGGUUCACUAUGUUGUAAAAGUCUAACUUCUCCACUAAAUCCAACCCACUCAUUCAAUAUAGUUACUCUAAUGCUUAACAUCACUAUGAGAAAUCACAUUCAAAAGCAUUUGUAUAAUUUCAAUAUUUGCUGCUUAUACCGCCAAAAUAUUUGUUUACUUUAAAAAAAUAUGUUGAUAGAUUUUAAUUGGUGGCUGAUGUAUGAUACAAUUCUUAGAAUGAAUCAAUGUUUGGUAUGUAUCAUAAGUUUAAGAUAACAAAAUCCUCUAAAUUAACAAAUUACCCUAUGAAAUUGAAGUUUGUUAAUCUAUUUAGCCUCUCUUAGGAUCAAUUUCGAAGAAUCUAAAUGACAAAAUCCUUUACUCUUUAAUCUUAUUAGGUUUGCAACAACUAAACCUAGAAAAUUCCCUCCAAAUGAUUCACAUUAAUUGCUAAGUGCUAACCCUAAUUAUGUAUUUUCUUCCAACACUUCUUCAAUUUGAAAUUCAAAAAAUUUUGUUAGGAACCAUGAACUGCAUUAAAUUACAUUUAUUGCUAUAUCCCUUGAAAAAUACGGAGCUCUUCAACCGAGCGCACAUCUUCAAAAUAAUUAAUACACUGUAUAAGAUCUCUUCUAUUAUUAAAUUCUAUGAUAUAUGCAGAUAUGAUAUGUAUUUGGUUGGAAAAAUAUAUUAUUACUUUUAGUAAAUAUCAAAGUGUAAUUAUUCCUUUUAGAGCUGUAUGUGUAGUUUAGAAAUUCUAUUAAUUGAAGUGACUUUGUUUUUCAUGUUAGUAGAAAUUUAAAACAAUUAUUACAUGUCAAUUUUUUGUUUAACUAUAAAAGUAAUAAAAUAAAUAAAAUUGACCCGUGCAACAAUAUAAUAUUGUAUCUUUUUUAUUUAUAAUUUAAAAAAUAACGUGAAGAUAAUGCCCCAAUAAUAUAUUGUGAUAAAAUAAAAUAACAGUCUUUAAUUAAUUAGCUUUUCAGAACUAAGAUGUAAAAUUUGAUAAGAUUCAAGUGUCAUUGAAGGACAUAGUAAGAAAAAUUUGAUUGUAAUAUUGUAUCUCUAAUAAUCUAAUUUGCGUUUAUUGAUCGAUAUCUUACGGGUUAAAGAUUAUUCAUUUGUCUCUAUUAUAGCCGACAAGACCCGUGCGUCGCACGGGUCAAAAGUCUAGUAAAUAUAAAUGAAAGUACUUAUAAAAUUUCUUGAAAUAAUAUAGUACUUUAAUUGAAGAUGUCCUUAACAUGUUAACUAAAUGAAAGUACAUUAUAAACCAAUCAUAAAUUGUUAUAUCGUUAAGUUUGAUUUUAGUCAAAACUACCUUAGAAUCAUGCAUUAUAUGAUUUAUACUGUUUUUAAGGGAUUUACAAUUAUUAGUUGACUAUGAAAGAAAAUUUACACAAAGCACAAUUUAUCAAAAAAAAAAAAAAUUUGAGAAAGAAGCACAGAGUAUCAAAAUUAAACUCUAAAUAUUUGUACCAAAAAGAAAAAAACUCUAUAAAUAUAACAUUUUGUCUCCUUAAAAAAAACAUUGUCAAAAGAAGAAUGCUAGCAACACUAUUUUUUUAGCACUCUAUUUAAUACUUACUUUAUCAUUGGAUGAAAUCAAUGUGGACUCCACUAUUUAUAUGGAAUCCAUUUCCAAAAUGUAGGAUCACAUUGAUUUCAUAUAAUGAAUUGUGAAUAUGGGGUGGCUUUAUGCUAAGUUACAAUAACAUUUCUUUGUUAGAAUAACAUCUUAGAUAGAAAAUAAUCAAGAAGUGAAGAAACAAAGGGAUAUACAAACAAUAUUUGGUAACACCUUGUAAUUCCUUUUUUUUUUUUUAUUAUUUCCAGUUUAGGGUUUACAUACACCUUGUAUUUAAAUAGCACGGUUCACAUUAUAUUAUCCCCUUCCCACUUAAAACAAUUCGUUUCGCUUAACUAUGAGUCAUACAACUUUUGCAUAACAUAAUAAGACUAGUAAAGCAACAUGAAGAAAACCAAAAUGCGCCAGUCCAAAAGUUACACAGCUCUUCAUUACAAAACAAUUAUGUAUAUGCACCAAAUUUGAAGAGGCUGAAUUUAAUAUUCCAGCCUUGUCACACAGGACAUAUUUGACAGUUGAUGCAAAUAACUUCUUGUAUGCAAAUUCAGUAUUAAGUUGAACAAUAUCAAUUAUCAAAGGAACUUAGAAUUAAGAACUCAAAAAUGAGCAUAAAAGGCUGGUCUAAAAAAAUACACUAUCUUUCAUUGAUGAUCAAAAUGAUAAUACAAAAUUAUUGUCUUAUUCAAAUUCAAAUGCUUGUACAUUUAUAAAGGAAGCUUUAAAUUGUGUCAAACAAAGGGGAAAUAAAUUUCCUAAGAAACUAAGGCAUGGGAUAUAGAUACAGGUAUUAUACAAGCUAGGAAAAAUUGGGGAGGGAAAAUAAAAAAUAAAAAGAAUCUUUCUUGUUGGAGAAAGAGUGCAAACUAUCUCUUUUGGAAGUUAAAGGACUUGAUUGCAACAGCGAAAAUAAAGGCAAAGCCCACGGCAAUUCCACCGACCACAAGUGCACACCAUCCUAUGAAGUCGUGUUGGAUACCAAAAAAGUCGUCAAGGAAAGUCUUUACAUCUUUUCCGCCUUCGGUCGACAUAACAGUAGUUAUAUCUCCAAAUUGAGAUGCAACCAAUCCAUAGAUGGUCCAUGCAACUGGACAUGCCCAAUAGUACCAUCUCCACCAUAUUGGAAUGCUCUGUUAUCAAAAGGCAAGAAAAUGGUUAGGAUACAUAUAACAUACAUCCAUUGAAACAGUCUUUCACAAUGUACUAUAUACUAAUACUUACAGGUCUUGGGACGACAAAUCCUGAAAAGAGAUUCCAAAUUGCAUAAAAUGCAGCAGCCACAAUAGAAGCAACAUGGUGAUUUGGUGUCACUGCCACAGCCAUCAUACCAUAGAAGGUGAAGUAGAGCAAUGUGAAGUACAUGAAGAAUAGAUACCACAAGAAUUUCUCUGCAGUCCAGUCAAAUCCGAUCAUGGCAUAGACUAUAGCUCCAUAUGUCACGGCUUGGGCAAAGACAUAAGGCAACUCUACCAAAAUCUGUAAUAAAGAGGGAGUUGUUAAUAUGAGAAUUUUCAGUUUGCAAACUAAAUUAGUAGUAGUAGUAGUUGUAGUAGUAGUAGUAAUAGUUUUAGUAAUAGUUAUAAUAAUAGUAAUGUCAGUAGAUUAAACAAUGAUAAUAGUUACCUGUGAAAAUGCAUAGGGUAAGGCAGAGUACAUUCCAGCAGCUUUUUCUCUAUAAAAUACAGUUCUUUCCACUGCAACCACGGGCUGCACAGAAGAAGAAUUUUGUACUCCAAGGAAGAGGACAGCGGUAUACAUUGAACCAACAGCGUUCAGAAGGUCUUGUCUACUUGAGCUGCAAGUCACCAAAAGGAAUUAGUAUUCCAGCGUAGAUAAACAGAGGGAGAUGACAAAAUAUAAUAUUUUGUCAAUAUUAUGAACUUAUUUUUUAAUUAAAAGUAGUUUGUUUGACUUACUGUUUUCCACCGAGGUCCCAGAACAUUGUUCCAAACAUCAAGCCUAUGAAUGUAGUGAAGAAAAACCUCACAGCAGUGUAUGGUGGAUUACGCCAAUAUGACCAACGUUGUUUCCAUAAGCAGGCCUGGCAUUGGACCAAGAAAGACUGCGAGAAUUGAGUAGGGAAAUGAAGAUCCUUUGAACCAGGAGCAGGUACGCUAAGUUCUUGAAUAAGUUGCUUGUUUCUCCUGGAGAGCCAUACAAAAUAGUUUAAGCAGGUAGCAAAUAAGAAAAACAAACAUGACAACAAUAGCUUCUAUAGUUGAUUGAUUAAUAUCUGUAUGCAUUAGUUUACCUAUAUAGAUCAGAAUUUUUGUACAAGUCAGUGAAAUCAACGCCCAAAUUAAGUUCUUGUGCGGUAGUUGUAACUUCCAACAUCCAUGUUGCUGGGUUAUAUCCGUCUUUGAUUUUACUCACUCCGUCAAUGCUCUGCAACGAAAGUUAUUUGAAAAUUUCAGUAACUAAUUACAAUCAAGAAAUAGAGUCAUUCCCGUAAGGUAAUACUUCAUUUAAGUAGAGGAUCCUACCUCAAAAUACUUGAUCAAAUGAGUAGAAUGACGACCCAAUGGUCCAACAUAUAUUUCUUGUCCUCCACGUUUCAUAAGGAAUAGCUAGAAAUGCAUAUGUAUAAUAUGUCAGAUUCAAGUCUAAUGAAGAGGAAAAGAACUAAAAAAGGCAGAUUCAUUUGUCAUUAAUAUUUUUUAUGACCAUUCACUACAUACCUCAUCAAAUGCUUCAAAUAUGUCAAUGCUAGGCUGAUGGAUGGUACACACAACUGUUCUUCCUGUGUCCACUGUGUUCCUUACAGUUCUCAUAACAAUUGCAGCAGCUCUAGCAUCUAAACCAGAAGUAGGCUCAUCCAUAAAAAUUAUAGAUGGAUUAGCCACAAGUUCAACUGCAAUAGUCAGUCUCUUGCGCUGUUCAGUUGAGAGACCACUCACACCAGGCAAACCAACUAGAGAGUUCCUCAAUGAGUUCAGCUCCACUAGAUCCAUGACUUCGUCAAUAAACAUCUGCAACCAUUUGUAAUGUUCAUUAAGUAAGGUAAACGAAGGUAAACAAAGCCACGCCGAAUAAACCAUGUACUAACUAACCUUUCUGGUGUUGGAAUCAACUCCUGAAGGUAAACGAAGCCACGCUGAGUAAAGCAAAGACUCAUAAACUGUAACAUGAGGUGAAUGGAUAUCAUUCUGCUCACAGUAACCGGAGAUUCUAGCAAAUGUUUCUUGCUUUUUAGGAUACCCAGAAACCUUGAUGUCUCCAUCAAUAUAUCCACCUGUUUUCCUACCAGCCAGAACAUCCAUCAGAGUUGUUUUACCAGCUCCACUUACACCCAUCAAAGCCGUAAGUACACCAGGCCUGAAUGCGCCACUAACACCCUUCAAAAGCACUAAUCUGUCCUCUGUAACACCUUGCUCCUUCAUUUCCUGCCAGUUGAAAUAAAAGUCAUGUGAGAAAAAUCAUUUUUGUCUGAGAAAAUAUGAAUUGUUAUACAUAUCUAAAAGCUGAACAUAUCACUUUGUGCGAGUCUUACCGCUGGCAUGUCAACAGAGUAUACAAUAUCAUCAAAAGUGAUAGAAUGUGGUUCAAAUGGAAGAACCAUUCCCUUUUUCUUUCCAUGGCUGGAUUCUGUAACAGAAUCUCUUCUACCUGAACUUUCUGAAAGACAAUAGGAAAAAUGUUCAGCUACUAAACUAUAUGAUAAACUACAAUAUGUUUGCCUUCAUGAGUGAUAUGCAUAUAAUCAAGAAAGCUCACCAAUACGUGGUAAUUCAACUUCUUGUACGGUAGAUGAAUCAUCUUCUGAAUCUUCUUCAGUUAUUGUUGCACUAGGCUUAUCAAAUGGGCCUAGUACAGCGAGAGCCACACCAAAUGCCGCGUUGAAAAGGAACACAAAUCCAACCAAUCCCCCAACGCCUAUCCAAUACCAAUAUGCAUGUGGGAAGAACCCUCGGGUAUCGAGAUAAUUUUUUCCCAAAUCAAAAGUAGCCUAUAAUUAAGUAUAUAAAAUAAAUCAGGCUUGUAAAUUUCUCAAACAAAAGUAGAUGAAUUAUAAAGUUGCAAGCAAGCUCAAGUAAUUACAUUGUGCCAACUGUUCCCAAGAAAUUCAUUGGCCAUCAAAGCAUUCUGCCCAUACAUCAAAGGUGAGAUCCAGUAACCCCAAAUCCACCAGCCUUUGAUAUCCUCUGUUUUCAAUAGCAAUAAAAUGUAAGAAACAUUAAUUACCUAAGGCUUCAUGUCUUUACAAAAAAUUAAAUUUAACAACAUUUUUAUCUUUUUUUGUUAAAAUUAAAUGUGUUAGUCAAUUUAACUUACUUCUUGAGAGAAUGAAGCCACCCAAUGCAAGAAGUGUGAGAACUGCAAAGGACCCAAAUGUAUUGGCAACAAUCAUGUUUCUACCCAGGGAUGCGAUGGCUCGGAACAAUCCUGAAGCCAUCUGACUCAUGAAAAACAACACAAGGAACUGCUUGAACAUCCUGCCAAAAUUCAAGACCUCACAUCAUAAGUAACAUCAAAUGCAAACAAGAUAGAAGUGGCAUUCAAUACCACAUGCUCCAAACAGAAUAAAAGAAAUUUCUUUUACCUUCCAACAUUUGGAUCAAAUCCAAUAACAUAGUAGGUAAGAAACACCCAUAGAGAAACUUCCACUAAUGAGAUGGGAAUCUUGAGAAUCCACGAAGGAAUAGCAUAUGCCCAUGAGGGAUAAAAUAGAAGGUCUCGUUGCUUGUAGUAAACAGGAAGCUUAGCAAUGGUCAUAGAAAUCUCAGACAUUCCAUUAAACAUCAUCGUUACCAGUGUGAAAAACAAAGCACCAGCAUAAACACCCGCAUCAUCCUGAUUAUUGCGAUGCAUCUCAGUCCGAAAAAACAGUGUCAUUGCUAUCAAUGCCAUGAUGAAAAGCUGAAAAACAAAGCAUGAAGAACAAACCGUUAUGUCACAGAAAAUCAUGGUGAUGAAUGUAUAAAUGAAAAAGAAUAUCUACUUGCUUAUAUUUAUAAAAAGAGCGGGAUAGAUUCCAAACCUGAGUUAGCUUGAAGAUGUAAACAAAGGAAUUUCUUUUCAUGAGCAAAUACUCUCUUGAGAAGUUAGCCUUUAAAAGCUCCGUCUUGUUGAGACCAUACUCUUUGGUGGUCAAAGCAGCUGGAUGGCUCUUCGUCUUGUCAAAUGGUACGGAAAGCUCCUCAGCAAGUUUCCUACCAAUAUGGAAGGAUUGAAACGCCUCAGCGAAUUGAGUAACAGUUACAAAUCUGUAUGGUUGAUCUCUGCGCACCCAGUACUGUGCUUGAUCCUUUUUGGAAGUUACUUCUUGAAGAAAGUCAGCGGCACCUUUCCUUUCAGGACAUUUGAAACCCAUUGUUUCAAAAAAGUCAAGAACAUAUUCGCGGGGGCCAUGGUAUACAACUUGGCCAUCAGAGAUUAAGAUAAUGUCAUCAAAAAGAUCAUAAGUCUCAGGUGCUGGUUGGAGCAGUGAUAUAACUGCAGUGCCAUUCAUAAUGUGAACAUAUUGUCUCAGAGAGCUCACAAUCUGAAAAGUUGUGGAACUGUCCAGCCCAGUAGAAAUUCAUCCAUGAACAAUGCAUUGGCUGGUCCAACCAACAUCUCUCCUGUAGUUACACGCUUCCUCUGUCCUCCAGAGAUACCACGUAACAUUUCAUCUCCCACCAUGGUAUCCGCGCAUAUAUCCAACCCCAAAAUCUACAAAAUUAUACAAUAUACAACUUAAUACCGUUGGCUUGUAAAAAAAUUCAACAUACAACAUGAAACACAACUUUAUUAUGGCAUGCAACACAUGAUAGAGCCCAUGCAAGGACAACGUAAAUUGGGAGUAGCCAAUCAAAAAUGCAAUGAGUUUAGUUUUGAUACAUUGUCAAUGUAAAAAGUUUCAUUGUCAACUAAUCACUUUAUUAGUACUUCUGAUUAAAGUCAGUUGUUUUUAUUGAUCUGGCGAUUAUGAGAGGAUAAGUAUAAUAAUUGAACUAUAUUUAAGUCUUACCUUGAGUACAUAAUCUGUUGAAAUGCUAUACUCCUGACCUUCAGUUGCAAUUGCCUGUUAUAUCAAAAUAAAAUUAGAGAUGCAAAGAUAGUAUAGUAUAUCCAAUUACUAUACCAUUACCGAUAUUGAUUGAUAAUAGCUUAUUUAAUGCAUACCUUCAUGUAGACAUCAAUAUCUGGGUCAGGCUUGAUAUUUGCUGCCUUCUCUCUUCUAGAAAGCUCGGAUAGCAUGUCUGUUUAACAAGUUAAGCUUUAGCCACAUUUCAAAUUAGAUAUUAAAAAACAUUAACAAGGUAGUAAAAAUAGACUAACCAUAACGUGAUCCAACUCCUUGGCAUCUUGCUGAGAAAGCCAAGGUUUCUCUCACAGUCAUUUCUCCAAUAUGAACAUCAUGUUGGCUGAUAUAAGCCGCAGUUCUUUGAGGUACAAACUCGUUCAGUCCAUGGCCAUUGUAAGUCACACUCCCAGUUAGCUGUACGAAUUAAGAAUUCGGCAUCCAAAUUAAAUAAUUUUAGAUAUAAAGUUUACCACCUUUGAGCUACUAAUGAGUUAUAUGAUUUUAUUUACCUGAAGACUUGGAUCAAGCUUUCCAGAUAAGGCUAACAGAAGCGUGGUCUUUCCUGAACCAGGAGGACCUAAAAGUAGUGUCAUCCUACGAGGUUUAACAAUUCCGCUAACAUCUUUAAGAAUUGCCACAUGCCUCUUUUUGGUUGGGAUGAUAUGAAGAAAAUUCAAUACACCCUGAAACAAAGAAAGAUAUAUUUUGGUUACUUGUGAGACUUAAAUGCAAAAGCAAAACAGAUCGAAGAAAGAAAAAACUUCAGUCAUUUUAUGAAGUACUAUAAUUUUUUUUUUCACUCCUUACCUCUAUAACAUUAGUAGCAGCAUUGAUGAAACUAGGCAAAGCUCUACUUCCCACAAACGCUUCAGCAUCAAUUUUCAGAUUGUUAUAUCGAACUUCAAUUGUUGGAAUAUCAAGUCCAACUCUGUAGUAAGAAGGAAAAACACAACAUGAUUAGUAAAUGACUUAUGACAUAAGAAACUGAUUAAUAAGGGCAUGCUUAAAUUGACUUAUUUUAGUUUAUCUACAUCUAUAAACUCUCCAUAAUAGUUUCUGAAAACAGCUUAUACCAUAUAGAGAAACAAUUUCACUUUAGAUUUGAUCUUUUGUUUAAGAAAUAGCUUAUGGAAUGUCCAUGAGCUGGUUUUAGCUUAUUUCCAUAAACUCUCCAUGAUAACUUCUGAAAACAACUUAUAGCUUAUCAUCAAAACAAUUUUAACUUUAAAUUUGAUCUUUUGUUAAAGAAAUAUCUUAUGAACAUAUCCAUAAGCUGUUUUCCAUGAUAGCUUUUGAAAACAGCUUAUAUCUUACGUGAAAACAGAAUAACUUAGAAAUCAAGCAAACAAAAAAGUAUUUAUCAACAUACCUAUCAACUCUCUCCUUAACCUUCAACAGAAACCCUUCAUUAUCUUCUUCAGCAACCUUAACCAACCUCUCCAAAAGUUUCUGUUUAUCUUGAAAAGCAAGAUCACCAACAUCAACUUCAUGAGCACCACCAUGAGAAGCUGUCAACAACCCUUUUCUUAGACGAUUGUAAGUAGGUAGUUUUUCAAGGGCAGCCCAUUUAAGAGCUUCUUCAUCAUCUUCUUCACGUGAAGAUUUAGAGAAAACCUCAACUCCACUUUGUCUCCAUACAGUUGAACUUCGAGCUCGUAAACUAUUUGUUGCUCUGUAUAUAUCUGUUCCCUCCAUUUUUUGUGCUGUUGUGAAACAGCUUUAACACAAGCUUGUUCUUGUUUUUUUGAAAAUUAAUAAGACAAGACACUAUGAAAGAAUCAAAGAAUGAUGAAGAAAGAGAAGUGUUUUGUUUUGUUACUAUUUUGAGGAUUGUGUUUUGUGAAAAAAUGAAUAUGGGAAUGGGAAAAUAUGUGUGUAUUUAUAUUGUUUGAUUUUUGAUUCCAAAAAAUCUGGCGGCCAUUGAAAAGUCAAAUGUUAAGAGUUUAUAAGAAAUAAUUUAUUUAAAAAAGAAAUUAUUAUAUAAAGGAGUCAGUAAUGGAGACCGUACUGAAAAAGAAAUGAUUUCAUUUUUAGUGGUCAAAUAAAGUACUUUAGUUAACCGGUGAAUAGUGAUUAGUGAAUAAUAACGGGUCCUAAAGUAAAGAACACGGGUCAUAUGAUCUACUAUUAUGUAAUGAGAAAGCCAAAUGAUAUUUCAACAACUAUUUUUUGACAAUUUUCUCUUUUAUAUUCACAUUAUUAUUUUAUUUUAUCUCUCUAUUGCUUUGAUUUUUGUGUCACUGCCUAAAUUUCUUUGUAUAAUUUAGUUGUCCAAAAAAUUGUCACAAUAAAUGGUUGUUCAAAUAACAUUGCUCAUGAUGUAACUAUAAGUAGGGAUGAAAUUAGUUCAAGUCGUUGUAUAAGAGUUUCAGGUCGACCCAAUGUAUUUGUAGUCUUAAAGCGAAUUUUAAAAAUUUGGAGGUCUAAAACCCUUGCUUUAGUGGCAGCUUCUUUAAACUGGUCCUGAUGGGUUUAUGAUAUAAUUUACGACAAGACAGGUCAGGUCAGUUUUUUUUCUUAAAUACGGAAGAUUUAAACUUUUUUAAAAAGUUUAUUAAGUUAAAAAAGUCAGGUCACAAGCCAUAUAAAAACCUUUUAAAUCUAUAAGGUCGUCUUACAUAGAUAAAUAUGAAUAAUAUUGUUUAUUACUAAUAUUAUUAUAUUAUAUUUUGUACUUCGAAUUAUAUUAUAAAUUUCUUAAUAUUUUCAGUAAUUUAUGUUUAUUAAUACACAUUAAUUUGUUUUGCAUAUCUAAGUGUAUUAUUAUAAACUAUAAUUAAAAUAUGAUUUUGAUUACUUAGUUGAUGGUGUUCAUAUGGAAUAAACUUUUAAAAUGUCUAACAAGUCAGAUCAAAUUUUCAAAAGGUCAAACACAUGUCUAAAAGAUAAACCUGUAACAAAUUGCAUGUCAUACUUACGUCUUAAAUUUUUUGACAAGUCAAACUUAAGUUUUUCAAAGACUAACUUGGUAUAAGCUAUUCUCAUCUCUACUACUAAGUUUCAGCAGUGAAGUUUAUAUUCUUCACUUUUCUACACUUGAAUGUACUCCCUCAUAUCUCUUUUUGGUCAAAAAAUUCUAAUAUAAAAUUUUUAUUCGUGUUUUUUAACGUUUAUGUUUAGGGCAUAACUUAGCAGAAUAUUUUUUUUAAUAUUUUAUUUUUUGGUUAAGCAGUUUGACUAAAAUUCAUCUUUUUUAAAGUGAAUAAGUGGGAGUUCGGAGUUCGAACCUCGGCCAUAUAAUAAUGUAUGUCUCUGUCAACUGAGCUAUGUUUACGGGAAUUUUUUUUUUUUUAAUAUUAGUAGUGGUUAUUAUCACAAUCAAAGCACGGCGGCUAAGGCUAAGCUCACUCAUUGAGAAAUGCUUAAAAAUUCAUAAAGCAAAACCCACACAUUGGUGUUAUUCGGCAAACACACUAGAAAGAAUAUUAAUAGAAUAUGAAAAGCAAAAAAAAAAACAGAAAAAUAUCCCUCUAAAGUCUAAAUGUACUAAAAAAACCCAAAACAUGAGAAAACUACCCAAUAAAAAGCGGUGAGUUAAUCAAGGACACCACCGACUAGUACGGCUGUAAAGUUACUUACACUAUACCAUCGAUCCGUACCAACGCAUGAGUCAUAUUGAAGGUAAUAUUUGACGGUAAUAUAUAGGUAAUAAAUAGUUUAGAUCAAUGUCAUGAUUGUCAUAUAGUAUUUCAUAAUAUUAAGAAGCAUAGACGUUGGUACUGUACCAUAACAUAAUAUUUUCAUGACAUCGUCCUUGGUACCGUAACGUAACAUAAUAGGUUAAGUAUAACGAGUCGAGUUAACAUUUAUAAGUAAGAGAUUAAGUUAAGUAUAGCGAGACAUGUUAACGGUUAUUCCUUUCUAAGAAAAUAUCAUCAUAUCUAAUUAGGAACAUAAUUUUAUUUUACUUUAGAUAAACAUUAAAUACAAAAAUAUAGAAGAAAAAAUUAGGUUAAAUAUACCGAGACGGAUUAACAUUUAUAAGUAAAAGGUGAGAGAUACACUAUGUGUUAUUUUCAUUUCAUGUAAAGUUUUAAAUUUAAUUAGUUGGAAAAAGAUAUAGGUUCUUCUAAAGAAAAAGGAAAAAGAUAGAAUACAAGAUAUGACAAUGACAUUGUCUAAAAGCAGAACCUCACAUAAAAUCCCUUUGAUAUAAAUCUGGAGGAAGCAGCAAUAAUAUCAAAAAAUUAAGGGUUAAUAGGACUUUACUCCCUGUAAUAUAGGUCAUUUUUGGUUUUGUCCCCUGUAAAAAAAAAAUUUUAGAUUUGGUCCUUGUAAAAAAAUUUUGUUUUGGAAAACCCCCCUAAACCAGCUGACUGUGUAUUUUGCUGAUGUGGCAUGCUCCGUCUCCUUUUUUGGAUGACGUGGCGGGCUGACUGUAUAAUUAUUUUUUAUUUUUUUUUAUAGGAUACACGUGGCAUUAAUGAUUUUUUUUUUAAAAAAAAUAUUAUAAAAAAUAAAAUAAAUUCUGGAAAAAUAAAAAUGAUUAAAAAAACGAAAAUAAUUAUGGAAAAAUAAAAAAAAUUUAAAAAAAAUUUAAAAAUUCUAGUAAAAUCUAGAAAAUUUAAUAAAAAAAUCUGGAAAAAAAAAAAAAAAUUAAUAUAUAUCAAAAUUUUCAAUAAAAUUAUUAAAAAAAAAUCUGAUUUAAAUUAAAAUUAUAAAAAAAUCGAAAUUCUAUAUAAAAAAAUUAAUGUAUAUCGAAAUUAUAUUCUUCACGAUCUAAUGUUAUGUUUUUUUAAUUAUGAAUAUACUUUCCAAUAUUUUGAUUUUCUGUAUAAAAAAUAAAAAAAAAAAACUUUUUAAUUUCGAAAGAAAAAUCUGAACUUUCAUUUUUAAUUCUAUUCUUAUUAGAUUCAUAAAUUUUGAAAUACUUUAAGUUGCUGAAUUUUUUAUUUUUUUUAUAAAUUAAAACUUCUUAAUUUCGAAAAAAAAAUAUGAAUUUUUUUUUUUAUUUUUCCAGAAUUUUUAAAUGUUUCCUCUAUUGAAAAUAAUAUGGAUAUAUGAAUUUUUCCAGAUUUUAUUUUAUUAAAUUUUCUAUAUUUUUUUCAUUUUACCAGAUUUUUUAAAUUAUUCCAGAAUUUUUUUUACUAUAUUUUCUAUAUUUUUUCAUUAUUUUCCAUUUACCAGAUUUUAAUUAAUUUUUCCAUAAUUAUUUUUCGUUUUUUUAAUCAUUUUUUUUAAUAUUUUUAUUUUUCUAGAAUUUAUUUCAUUUUUUUAUAAUAUUUUUUCGUUUUUAAGAAUUUUUUAAAUUUUUUUUAAAAAAAAAAUCAUUAAUGCCACGUGUAUCCUAUAAUAAAAAUAAAAAUAAAAAUAAUUAUACAGUCAGCCUGCCACGUCAUCCAAAAAAGGUGACGGAGCAUGCCACAUCAGCAAAAAUGCAUAGUCAGCUGGUCUAGGAGGGUUUUCCAAAACAAAAAAAAUUUACAAGGAUCGAAUCUAAAGUUUUUUUUUACAGGGGGCAAAACCAAAAGUGAUCUAUAUUACAGGAGGUAAAGGCCUAUUAACCCAAAAAUUAAAGAAGUUAAAAUCAUAUUACUUGAACAGCAAGGAUAUUUAUUUUCAAGAAGUUUGAAAAUCAUAUGCGUAUAGUCUUUUUGCUUAUGAAAAAAGAAAACAUGUGUAAAGUGUUUCAUUUUGGACUUCUAGAUGGAUAGAAACAGAUGUUAUAUGGGGGCUUUGUCAAAAAAAUUGAUCAGUUCUUCUCUGCGUUGAAAACAACUGUGGACCAAUAAAUAUUCAACUUAUUCUCCUUUUUAUUUUAUUUUAUAAUAAAUAUUCAACUUCUAGAUAUAUGAAUGAUUUUUCGUUUUUUAUUGUUAACGGUCUAACAUAAACACAAACUAAAACACUCUUUAUUUAUUUAUAAUUAAGUCAAAAGUAAUUAAUCAAGAUAUGUUUGUUCCAACAACUGAUUUGUAUUUUAAAUAUGAUCUAGAGAUUAAAAUAAAAUUAUUCAGUUUUGAUUCAACAAUUCAUGUUUACUAAUGAAAGAGACAUCACUAUUUUAUUUUAAAAUACAGAUAAUCUAGAUAUAGAAGAUAAUAAAGUUAUUAUAGUAUAAUUGAUUUUGAUUGAUAUUUAAUAUAUAAAUAACAUGAUCAUGUCACCCAAGUGGGUAUAUUAUUAAUAUCAAUUUGUUUGCCCAAUCAAAUUUGGAUCCCACGUACACGUAGGGUUCUAGAUGACCAUGUCGUCGUCGCAUAGUAAAGCAGCCUAUCUAAUAUAUUUUGCGGGUUUUAGAAGGCAAGUAUGUAUGUAUUGUUGGACCCUCCUACGUUAUAUGAACAAAAUUGAUGCAAAGAUUCCCAUCCAAAUUCAUGAAUCCUUUUCGGUGGCUUUGACCAUAUAUCAUCAACACUUGCACACAAAAAUAUCCCUUUUCCUUCUAGACUGUCUGUAGUACAUUCUUUUUCAUUGCCAUACUUUUGUACUACUAUUAUCUUCAACAUCAAAAAAUUAUUCUUCAAAAAUAUCUUCAAAAUUUUAUAAAAUUUUUGGUAAGGAUAUCUUAGUUUGGAGUUCGAAUCCGGCCACCACUAAACAAAAAAAAACCUAUCAAAAUUUAAAAGGGUCCUACAAUUCUUUAUAUUUUAAUAUUGUAAGGAAUAUCAUUAUGAGUCGAGAUUCAAUUUUUAUAUUUUGUAAUACAUAAAAGAAUAUACUAGUAAUUGAAGACCCAACAACUACAAAUGCAGCAAUUCCUACAAAAUCAUCCAUAACCAAAGUAUCUUCUAGUAAACUCUUUCACUGCCUCAUUGCUUUCAAUUCAACUUAUUACAUCUCUAAAUUGUCAUCCAACCAGUCCAUAUAAUAAAUUGUCAACCAAGCCACAUGACAGAUUCCAAAUUUCAUAAACAAGGCUAAGUAGUCAAAGAUAGGGUUUUAGACUUCGGAAUCUUGGGAUAAAAAAUACUUCAAAAUAUUCAAAUUAAUCAUAAAUAUAUUAUAUUAUAGAUUAUUUAUAGAUGUUUGCUCAACUCAGUUAGUCAAGAUGAUCAGGUCAUAUCACCCAUCCUGUGAUGAGGGCUUUCCUAUAAAAUAGAAGGUUCGGCUCUCUAUUUAAAAUAAGGCCAUAUACUUGUCCACACAGGCACCACAUGGUGAUUUUGGAACUAUAGACAAUAUUAAUGUCAGUUUGUUGUAUAAUACAGUCAUAUCUAAGCUCUGCAGAGAUAGCCCUUGAAUUAUUUUCUGAAAUGCUUGUUAAAAAGAUCAGGCGUGGUCGUGAAGCAUAUAAUCGUCUAAUCUAUGGCUUUUGCAUUACCGGUCAAUUUUAUGGAUCUUAUUCUUAGGUGGAAUAUUAAGUUGGUAAAUAACUUGUCCUGUAUAUGAUCUUAUUGAUUUUUAAUAGACCAUAUUACAAUCUAGGAUUGAGUUUCUCAUUCAUCUUUUUGGUUAAUGACUUCAGUCUGUAUGGCUGCAAUUUCAUGUACACUCGACCGCCUACCACAUAUGUAUUCUACCAUUGUUACCAUAACAUCUCAUUUAAUUUUGUGCAUUAGAUUUAAUGUCAUGUAGGUAGUCCCAUUUAUGAGUCUGUAUAGCUGCAACAAGUUUAGUAGUCCUACAUAAAUUUUGUUCCGUUUUUGUUCCUACUGUCAUUACACUUUUACCCAACAAUGACUGUUUUAGUCCCUAAAAAGGCAAAAUAAUGACUAAAAUUGAACAAUUUUUUUUGUAAGGACUAAACUUGAAAAAUGGUGAUUUUCAUAGGCACUAAUUUAACCCGCAAUUAAACUAUUUCAUUGAAAUACAAAGUAAAAGAGAUCUGGAUGAAGCCUUCCUCCUGCCAGCCAAAAGGAGUGUGUUUUUUUUUUUUUUUUGGAGGACCGAAAAGCAGUCAUCCUAAAAAAUGCAAUGGUGAAGUGUGAGACUCAUGACAUUAAUAUGAAAAUGAACAAGGUUGGAGCUUUAAGAAUUACUUAAUCAACUCAACCGAGUCUUGGUUCUUUCUCACCUAAUACAUUAAAAGAUUAGAGAAAAUGUGAAAAGAAAACAUUAAAAGCUAAUACAUUUUUGCCCAGUAAUAUUACCAUAAAAUCUAGGCUUAAUUGCACUUUUGGUCUCCUAUCUUUCCAAAAGUUGCGAUUUUGGCAUUAAAAUACAAAACAGCCCCCUAUGUAUUGGAUCUUUGUCAGUUUUGACCCACAAGGCCACUUUGACUUAGUCUUCGCUGACGUGGCACCCACAAUGGUCGACACGUGGCAUCUCAUUUAAGGAAUGUGGGUGCCACGUCAGCGAAGACUAAGUCAAAAGUGGCCUUGGGGACCAAAACUACCAAAGAUCUAAUGCAUAUGAGGCUGUUUUGUAUUUUAAUUAGUUAGGGGUCAAAAUCGCAAUUUUUGAAAAGAUAGGGAGCCAAAAGUGCAAUUAAGCCUAAAAUCUAUGAACAAUAAGAAGAAAGAUAAGUUAAUGGAAAAUAAAAGGAAAGGGAGAAAGGGGCAAUACUAGAAAAGGACGUAUCACCUAUCAAUUUUGUACUAACCGAGCUAAGUUCACCUUACCAACCGAGCUAAGCUCACGAGGAUAAGAUAUAUAUGCGUGUGAAAGAAAAGAAUGGUGUUUUCCAUAAAUUCGGUACAUAUUUUUUUUAUAAAAUAAAAAUGAGAAUCUAAAAAAUAGUUUAAAAAAAUUGUUUUGGGUAGUUUCUCUUAAAAACUAGUAAUUCUUAUAACUGAUGUUUUUAAAGAUGAGUGAUAUUUGAACAAUCAAAAUAUAGAAACUUUUGGAUCAAAGUACACAAAUACACAAAGUAAAUAUUAUUUUUAAUUAAAAAGGUGAAAAAAUAAUAAUAUGAUUUUACAACCAUAUAAAAUUACGGUGUGACAGAACUUUUAUGUUGCCAAAAUAGCUUUCCUCUUUUUUAAAAUUAUUUUCAUUAUGGUACACUAAAGCAAAAAAAAAAAAAAAAGGAUAUUCUUAAAAUUCUAUAAAUUAUUCAAUGUGUAUUUUUUUAUAAUCAUUAACAAUUCCCUUAAAAUCUUGUCAAAAAAAAAAAACAAAUCCCUUAAAAAAAAUAUGCUAUAAAUAUAGAGACUAGGGGAUAUACACACCAUUCUUAUUAUAAAAUGAAACUCGAAAGAGUGAAACUCUUAUAUGUGGAGCCAAAACAAUGUGAUUUACUUUGCUUCUAUGAAUUAUGAAAACCAAAAAGGGUCGAUUAAAAAUUUGGAAACUAGACAAGUUGAAGUGAAUACUUGAAUAUUGCAUUGGACAUGUGGAAAUUGAUAAAAUAACAUGAAGAAAUCAUGCUGUGUUGUGUUUUAUUGGCUAGCUGAAAACCAUGAGGUAGAAAAUUUGAAAAUUCGUAGAUCAACAUUAGCAAGAAAGGUUUGGCAUGAAAUUUUUUCAUCUUUAGAACGUAACAUUGAGUGGCUUUCAAAUAAUAGACAACACUAUGUUUGGAUUGAUGGAGAGUGAUGGAAUGGAAUGGAACCAUGCUCCAUUGUUUGGUUUUGUAUAAAAGGAAUGGAAUGGAGUGUGAUGGAACUCAUUCCAUCCAAUACCACUCAUUCUUUCAAUUUUUCAUUCCAUCCAAUUUGGGGUGUAUCCAAUGGAAUGGAACACAUUAAUACUUUUAUUACAAUUUUAUCCCUGCAUUUUCUAUUUCACCUCCUUCUUUCUUCUUGCGUGUGUGCAACUUGAAUUUUUUUUCUUCCUGUUUCUCUCUCCUACAACUCUCUUUUAGGUCAUUUAUCUCCAGUUUUUUCUUCCAGAAAGCCUCACGCCUUCCAUGACAUAGUAGUUAUUUAAUGUUCCUCGUUGUGACACCACAAAGUUCCACAAUUUGCAGAAAAGAAAAUCCAAUCCAUAUAGUAGUCAUAUAACAAACUUACUGCUUACUAUGCUCUUCUAAUCCUUUCUAUGAACUGAGCCAUCAACCAUUAUUAUUAUAUUGUUUAAUUAAAUAAUAUCUGAACCAUUGGAGAAAAUUAUGCUUCAAGGUUGUGUUUCAUCAUUAGAGGUAGAUAAUAAAACAUCCAUGUUUUAAUUUGCAGCGAGUUCAUAUUCUGGAUGCAUCAUUCUUAUAUGUGAAGCAUUUUUAUUAAAUUAGGUAUAAUACAUUUUUUGAUGUGAAGCAAUUGUGAAGCAUUUUUAAUGUUUUUUUAAAUAAAGGUUAAAAUUGGAAUAAAAAAUUAUAAUACAUUCCAUUCUGUCAACUUCCCAAACAAUGGAGUGGAAAGUUAGUUUCGUUCCAUCGUGAAAUAUCCAAACGAUGGAAUGUAAUCUCUAUUCCAUUCCGUUUCAUUCCGCUCCGUUCCAUUCAUUUCCGCUCCGUUAGUUUUAAGUUAUCCAAACAAAGCCUAAUGAGCUUCAUUAAAAAAAUAGUAAAGGUUUUAUACAAGAAAGGGAGGAAGUUUUAUCCAAAAAAUAAUAAAGAGACGAUCAUGGUUAAAGAUGUAUGGGGAUUGGGGCAUAUACACCUUUAAACACUCUUAUCGUCAAGUCAAUUUGUCAAAAUAAAAUAGUGAUAGGUUUAUUAGAAUUAAUCAUAUAUCUCUCCUAUUGCAGGUGUCUUUUUUUACUAUAAGCGAGGCUUCAGAAAAUCAGGAUAAAUUCCGGACAAGUUUGCAAAAAUUAUUAACUUUUAAAUUACUAAUUUGAUUUUCACCGUGUUCUAAGAAUGUUAGCAACACACAUUUUUCAACAAACUAUCUUUGAUUGGUUGAAAUUCACAUGGGUUCCACCAAAUUAUGUGGGUCCCAUACAAAUUUGAUGGAUCCCAUGUGAAUUUUAACCAAUCAAAGAGAGUGUGUUGCUAGCAUUUCUCUUAUGCAAAUUCAUCAAAUCAAUGUUAAAACAAAACAAAGGAGACUUAUGCUUUUCUGACAUCCAAUAUAUCUUGGAAACACAAGUAAAUGACUAAAAAAGUCAGCGGUAGUAGUUAACUACCGCAAAAGGUAUUUUAGUAUUUUAAUCGUGUUUUUAAGAAGUUUAUGAUGUGAAAAAAGCAAUUGUCAACAAAGGAGGCAGGGCUUCUCAUGGCCAGUUCGAUGGGCCAAGGUUCAUCAAUGUUACAGGCCCACAAACCACUAAAAAUGUUGAUUUUUUUUUUUUUUGUGGUGGACCCAAUUUAUGUCAUUGUUCAAACCAUAAUAAUUUGUUAAUAAUCAUUUCAUCUACUUUCUAAUUUCAAAAUUUUGAUACUAACAUCUAAUCUAACCUCACCCACAAACGAUUAAUAAAUUUGGAACCAAUUUAUUUUUGUUCUUAUUGAAACAUUUCAACUUCAAGGACACUUUGGUCCUACAAAUAUUUCUAUAUGACAUACCCUCUUUAUUACUCCCUCUCAUAUAACCGUUACCCCAGUAACAUAGCAACACAUGGAAUCAUUUAUUAAUACGUGUAACACCAAACUUUGAAUUAAAUAUUAUUAUUUUUCAGUUUUAUAAAGUAAAUCCAAAUUCGACCGUUGGUUCCUUCAUCAACAAAAUACAACAAAAACACACGCUCUUCAAUUACAACCUUAUUUACUCCAAACACUAACCACUUCAAACUCAACAACAAUGGCAGAACAAUUUGGUUUCACUUCUGAAGAAAUUGUUGUCAAUGACAACCUAGGAUACCCAAAAGCCUAUGCAAAACUCUGUCGUGACCGUGGUUUUACUCCGUACAGCCAUGGUCCUCCAUUCACUUUUCUACCUUAUGCUUUGCCUGAAGAUGAGGUAACCCAUUUUAUUCUUUCUUUGGUUUCAUUGUAAAAAUUGAAUCUUUUUUUUAUUGGGUUGGAUUUGUAAGUUGUAACAUUUGUUAAUGUUUUUUUGGUUAGGUUGAAAGAGUGAGUUUUUUGGAUGAGAUGUUUCCAAUUAUUGAUCCUAAAGCUAAGCCAACGACGAAGGCAAAAAUCUUUGCUAGUAUCUUGUGGAAGCAACUCAGUCAUCUUGGGUAGAAAAUUCAGCUUAUCUUAAGCAAUUAUAGUAACAAGUUUCGAAAAUUUCAAUUUCAAUUAAUGUUAAUUUUGUUUGAAACCUCAGGAAUGCUGGUUUUGAUCCGGCGGUGAUUCGAGUUGAUGGUUAUGGUAAUGUAUUGUAUUAUCAUGCGGAUUCAGCUUCUCCUCUUGCUUGGGACAUUGAUCAUUGGUUUCCUUGUUCAAGUAAUUGAGUUUUUUCUCUCACUUUCAAUUUAAUCUUUUUAGAAUUUACAAUGUGCAGAACUCAUCAAUUUAGUCUCCAAACUAUAUAACUAUUAGAAAUAGUCUAUUAGAGUAUAUGAGAUCCUUCAAUUUAGUCCCAAAAUAUAUGAAAAAGUAUUAAGAAUAAAGCAUCACUUUAGUCUCUAAAGUCUAAACUAUAUAAAUAUAUAUAAUAAGUAGUCUCCAACUUACUUGUUCAAAAAAAUAGCAGUUUCCAACGUAUAUGAAAUUCGUCAAUUUAGUCCCAAAAUAUAUGAAAAUCUAUCAAUUUAGUAUGUAACAUCUUAAUAGGAGGGAUUAAAUUGAUGGAUAUUAAGUACUUUAGGGACUACUUAUUACAUUUAUAUAGUUUAUGGAUUAAACUGAACAGUGAGUCAUAGCUUGGGGACUAAAUUCUAAAUUGAUGGUUUAUUCUCAAAAUUAGUUCGGAAGGCUAUCUUAUUUUGAUCUCCAUGAAUGUAUGUAUAUAGGUUUAAAAAGCUUUUUAGUAAUUGAAGAAGGUUGAAUUUAUUUUAAUUGAGCUACAAACGAACUAGGCCUUGGUGUGAUUUUGCUCAUUUUGGGAUGACAAUUGUAGGAGGAGGUUUGACUGUUUUAAGCAAUCUAAGGAUAUUACAAAGGCAAGUUUGUAAGAGGAAGAAACAUAAAUUGGAAUUCCUAGUACCAUGGUGGGAUUUCCAAUUGGGUAUAUCUGUCAAUCAGUUUUUGUCGAUUUUUGCUUCUUCAAAUUCAGACUUUAGGUAUGUUAUUUCAUUGUCUUGCUAUUAUUUCAAAUUUUCUUCAUAAACACAUCAAACUAGGAGGGUAAUGAUGAUUAUGUUUGGUUGCAAAUGACAGGCACAGAGGCUUUUCAUUUUUGUUCUCUGAAGGAGAAAGUCAUGAAUUGCAUGAUACACAAAUAGUGGAUUCUCAUUCUUUUCCACAACACUUCAUUGGUUUGAAAGAAGAAGUAGGGCUUGCUCCUGCUGCAAUCGUUCAAUCGCGAAGGGAUCCUUAUGAUGCAUUAGCUUUAAGACAACUUGAUCACAGUAAGAAGACAAGGCCUAUGUCUCCUGCAAUAGGUUUGUGGCAAUGCAUAAAUAUGAUUAAUCAUACCAAGUUUGAUUUUAAGAUAGAGAAUUAGAGAUUGACGUUAUAUGUCUUUUUUCAGUGGCUGCGAGAAAAACAAAAGGCAAUGUGCUGAAAGAAAAUGCAGAUCCAAAUUUUGUCAAAAACCCCUACCAAGCAAUUGUCAUGGCCAGAGAUUCACAGAAGCAAAGAGAAGAAACUUUAAAAAUGCAGGCUGAAAUGCAGAAGUUAGAUAAUGAAGUGAAUGAAAUGAAACUCAAGAAUGAAGAAGAAAAGAUUGUUAUUCAAGAUCUCGAAAUGACACUUAUAAAACGUAAGAGGAAAGCAGAAAAAUGCAGACGGUUAGCGGAAGCUCAAUCUUCUUACAGAACCAUGCUAGAGAAAAUGAUCAGAGACACCAUGCACCAGUAAGCUUCAUUAACCAAAGUUGAAAUGCUUAAUUCUUUUCUUUAUAUAUUUUCUUGGACUAUGGCAAAGUUUUCAAAAAGAGUUUAAUUUCGAUACAUGCGUAAAAAGUUUUGAAGCGUCAACAAAUCCCAAUCAAUUUAUAUAUGUGUGUGACUUUAGAAAUAGUUAUGAUUAAAAGCAAACAUUUUUAAUGAGCUGAAGAUUACAAAUGCAGACGGUGUGAUAAAUUUUUAUAUUGACAAAUAAAAUGAUUUACAUCAAUUUAAAAAAUUGAUAUCAUUUUCUUGCAGGAGUGUGAUUUAUAAGGAACAGGUGAGAUUGAAUCAGGCUGCAAGUAAUGCAUUAAUGGCAAGACUUGAAGCACAGCGAGCAAUUUGUGAUGCUGCUGAGAAAGAGCUUCAUAAGAAGUAUAAACAAAAAGAUGACAUAGAGAAACAGAUUAGACCUGAAUUCGAGCAACGAAAGAGGUUCAGAAUAGAUGAUUCCACUUUUGAAGAGGAGAGAAACUCUAAAUCUGUUAUUUAUUUGCCUGGAAAUAGGCCAAGAACACCUUUUCACAAGGAGCUUCGAGUUUUGUUGGAUGAAGAGCAAAAGGCGUCCGAAGCCGGCUUAUCUGCAAAUGAAGAAGAGCUAAAAAUUGAAGAAGAGGAACCUACCAAAUCAGUGGUUGUCUUGGAUGAAGAAAAGUCAAUUGAGCAGAGACUUCAGAAGCUAGAAAUCAGUGAAGGAAAGAGGACUGCUGGCAUUUCAUUCCGAGGUUUUCAUGAGAAAAAUGUUGAGGAAGAUGAAGAAAUGAGGAACCAACGAGGCAAAGGGAACGUUGAAAAAUGGCUUCAAUUGCUUUUAGAGAAUGGUCAAGGAGAAGGAACAGAUUCACAAGAAGAAACAAAUGGAAAUGCUUCUGGUAGGACUGAAGAUAUAAUCCAACAACUGAAUCAGAAGUUUCCACAAAAGGAGUUGUUGAAGGUCUCAAAAGUUUCAGAUUCUGAUAUUAAUAAUAUUGAGAAGGAGCUGCAAGUUCUUCAAGACAAGAAGUGUUGGACAGAGAAAGAAGAUGAUAAAAUAGAGAAUGUUGAUGAUGCUACUGGAUAUAAAAAUUACUCUGCAGAAGCUUAUGUAGGGGAAACAAAUGGUAGUUUUGAGAAAACAAAAAUUGGUAAAAAUUGGAAAGAAGAACAACAUAAAUUGGAAAAAAGACUUGUUAGAUCAGAGAGUGCAAGGGUCUUGAGACGAAUUCCGUCGUCUCCAUCUUUGUUUCAAGGGAUGAAGUCAUCCUUCAAGACAAUCAAGAAAGCAGUGAAACUAUGAAUGUUUGCGGAGGCUCUUGUACUUUUUAUUUUCCCUUGUUCCUUAACAAUUUGAGUGAUGCUAGUUGAAUAAGUGAGUGAAUAUGUGUGCAAAAAUAUAGGGCUUGAUUCUAUUGUUUGAUUUGUGUAUAAGAUUUUUUAGUUAUCAAAUAAGUAUAACAGCUUGUUGUUUUGGCUGCAAUAAUUAGGUUUCUGUUUCUUCUAUUUUCAUGUUAAGCACAUAGUUUUCUACUAUAAAUUUGAGAAUUCUUGCAUCUGCUAUAAUAAUUUCCUUAUUUAUCAGAAUUACAAGCAGAAAUGAUCUUUGGUUGUUCUGAUGUAAAAAAGAGUCUUGUAAUGUGGAUCCACCAUAAAGCACUUGUAAAUAAAUGAAAAACGUUACACAGUUUAUGACAUUCCUACUCCUAGGGUACUUUUCAUACGCUCUGAAGAUCAAACACAACAAACUUUUAAAUUACUAGUACUAUGUAUGUCAACAAAGUACUUAAAGAGAUCAACAAAGUCCUUAGCCUCAGAAAGUGCAAUAUCAACCGUUUAUGUUUUAACAGAUUUAUACAAAAGUUUUUUUUUUUUUUGGUACAAGUACAAAAGUAUUAACAUGUAUUGCAAUUAAACAUUGAAAAGUAUAACAAGUUAAUUGGGGUGGGUAACAUGGACCUCUCAAAAAUGGUUCAAAGUUGGAUCUUUACUACUUUUAGUAACAAUAAUGAUUCCAAUUUAUUAUCAAUUCUAUGUUACAGACGGCCAAUUAAAAUAUUAGAACACUGCAGCAAAAAAUGUGUCACUUCAGCUAAAAAAAGAAUUGAGCGACAAAAUUAAAAAUGAUUAAAAAUUGUAGUGUCAAAUUGAAAGGAUUUGGAAUUAUGUUACUACUCCUAUUUGUAGGGACUAUUUGCAUAACUAAGUCUAAAAUAUAUAUGUUCAAAAGUUAAAUUAAUUCAUUUCAAGUUAUAGGAAUAUGAACACCAAUAAAUUACCGUAUGCUUGGCACAUAUGUGAAAAUAGAUCGAGUCGAGCUAAACUUUGUAAUGACUAAGUUUGACAUGUCAAAAAAAAAUUUAAGGUUUAAAUCUGAUAUGUAGUCCGUCGUAAACUUAUUUUUUAAACAUAAAGAUGACCUUAAAAAAGUUUGAUAUGAUUUUUGGUGAAAGGAAGUUUGAUAUUGUUUAUAUAUGAUCAUAUUUAAACUAAUAAUAUAUAUGUUUAAAUAGAAUAAAUCAAUUAGAUUAAACAUGACAUUUUAGAUAAUUUAACUAUAUAUGAUAUAAUAUUUCAAUUAUAAAACCUUAUAAACCCACAAGACUUUGUUAUGUUAUGGUUUGCAGUCAUGAUAAAUAUGUGUUUUCUUUUUAGAGAUGAAUAUAUAAGUGUUGUAAUCAAGAGAGAUAUUAAGUGCUUUGAUAUUCAUUCCAACCGAAGAUAGGAUUAGCUCCUUUCCAGAUUCAAUUAUAUCUCACAUUCUCUCUUUUCUUCCAACCAAAGCGUCCUCUCAAAGAGGUGGAAUCCAUUAUGGCUCUCGGUUCUUGAUCUCAACUUUGACGCCCAAACUUUUGAUACUCAGUCAUUGUAUCACGCUGCCAAUAAAAUCAUUCCGCCUCAAAGAGGAAUCGAAGAACUAGACAUUGACAUGUUGGAGAAUGUUAAUGGAUUAACAGAUAGCAUUUUCAGUUGCAAGACACUCACUGUCCUCAAAUUGAAAAACCUAUCGAUGAGAGACGACAAUUGUCAAAUAGAUCUUCCUCUACAAAUCUUUGUAUCUCAGCUAAGAAUUUGCUUGUUUACAGGUUGUAGAGGCAGAAAGUGUGAGCUUCAAUUUGCAGAGUAUGUUAUGCAAAACUCAAAACCAUGACAAUUCGCAGUGCUUGUUUCAUAGAUUUGAAUGCAAGCAAAACACGAAAUGCUAAGGAAAUUAUCUGUGUGCCCAAGGGGCUGUAAACUUAUAUUUUGAUUGAUGAAGACUAUAAUAUAUUUAUAAUUCCAAUUUUUAUAUGUUAGAUUCUUCUACAUAUAGAAUUUGAUGGGGUUUGAAUUAUAUAUGUAAUUAAAAUCCAUUCUAUCUCCUCUCAACUUUUAUUUUAAUUUUCUUACGGGUUGUUUGUUUUUAUUUUAGUUAGCUCAAUCACUAUCGCUUUUUGGCAAUUGGUUAUUUCAAUCAAAUAUUUCAAUCACUAUCGCUUAUUAAGUUUGCCAUUGGUGUAUUUUCUGUCUUCCACAAUAGGGUAUAUGAUGAUGCAUGUACAUACAUGGCUUGCCAAGAGAAUGAACAUGUAGUUCUAAACUAGAAAAGAAACUUUUUAGUGUUUUCCAUAAUCCAUAUUGGACCAUGUUUGAGAACUAAAGAAUAAGAAGUCUCACUGGUUUGGAAUGUAAAGAAUGGUGAAAGGGAGAGAAGAAUGGAGUUUGUUUCUUGUGACAUCAAUGGAAGAAAGUGGUAUGGAAGAAGGAAUGUUAUCUUGAAUUCCACCGGUGAGACACAAUUGUUAAGAAUUCUAACCUUGGAAUCUGUCGAGAGUGAAUUGGAAGAUGCAUUCAAGGUUACUAGGAAGCAAUAUUAUUCAAGGUUUUGGUAUUAGCCAUGGUUUUAAAUUGCGGGCCGCAUCCGCAACUGCGACUACAACAACAACAUUUCAUGACAACUGCAGUGUGUUCUUCAAUUACGUGUUUGUCCGCAUCAGGAACCACAUCAAUCGAUUUCAAUCAUUUUCGUUCAGAAUUUCUCGCCAAAAAUUAAAAUCUUGGAACUCCAAUUUACAAUAUGCUUUAGAUUAUAAUGAAAAGAGAAAUGAUAUUUGAACAUUCAUUCUGUGACAACUUUUGUUACAACUUUCUCUCUCAUACUCGUAUUAUUUUUUACUUUAUCUCUUUCUGUUGUUUUGGUUUUCCUGCAAAUAACUACUUUUUCUUUGUAAAUUAUGGUUAUCCCAUAAGUUGUCAAUCAAAUGGUUGUUCAAAUAACACUACAUACCUUUAAUAGUCUCUCAAAAAUGUAUUUCAAACACUUUGGAAUUGGUAUUUAGGGAGCAAAGUUGCUAUGGUGGGUAAGUAGGCUAGCACCAUGUUGGUGUCACUUUAUCUAUUUUGUGAAAAUUAAAAAUUAUUUCAUGUCCCAACAACCGAAUGUGCAUCGGAAUCGUCGCAAUAACCACAACAACUGCAUCAGUGACCGGAGUUUAAAACCAUAUAAGCUACAAUCACAGCAACCACAUCUGUGAUCCGUUCUUUUAAAUUUAAUAGAUAUUAAUUGUUCCUUUCAUCUCUCAUUAUAACACACUUCUCUUACUUGAUACAUCCUCUCUAUAUAUAUAGACACGGACAUUCAAUAUAUUACUCAUCAAGAAUAACUAAAUAUUCUUUAAAAAAAGAUUAAUUAGAUUAGAUAUUAAUUUGUUUAUUAGUAUUUUUAACCGUGCAUUGUUAUGUGAAAUAAGUCUUAAGUUGGAACAUCUGAUCAAUGCAUGUUCACUACAAGAAAAUCUAAGAUUUGCUACCAUAACUGUGCUACAAAAUAAAAUGGUAGUAAAUAUCAAAAUAAUUAACUACCCUUCCGAGCAUGUGUGAGUUAUUGUUAUACUGCAUCAAACUUUAGAGAACUAUUGAGUUAGACUCUGUUUGGAUAUAAGCAGCUUAUUUGGAGCUAAUUGCACAAACACUUCUCAUGAUAAGCGCUUCUGUAUAAGGUUAAAACACUUCUCAUGAUAUGUGCAUUAAAUAGUCUGAUUAGGAGAUGUAAAACAUCAAAUAGAAUUUCAAUUAUUACUUUUACAUUGUGUUUGAUUUGUAUUUAUAAGAUAAUUUUUUUUAGGGUAUUGCUAACCCGUGUCCAAGAGUGUGUUUGGAUGGAGGAAUGUUUAUUGUUUUGAGAGAAUUCAAAUACUUUGGGGUGAAUUCUAUUGUUUGGAUAAUAAUUUGAAGAAUUUUCAAAAUGAUGGAAAUUUAUGAAGUAUUUUGUUCAAGUUAAAUUUAGAGAAUUUCAAAUGACACCUAAAAGCUAAAAAUUUCAAAUUUCUUCAUUGCUGUUAUUUUUCAUAUUUUGCAUUUUGGUCCUUAAAUUUUCCAAAAAAUUCAAAUUGAACCCAAUAAAUUUCCAAAAAAUUGCAAAUUGGUCCCUCAAUUUUUCAAAAAUUAUAAUUUGACCCCUCAAUUUUUAAAAAUUUACAUUUUGACCCCUAAUUUCAAUUUUCAAAUUUGACCCAAAAAAAUUAAAAUUUAUAAAAGUUGCCCAAAAAUGAUGACAAUGAAUUUUUUUAUUACUUCAUCCAAACAAAAGAAUUGAGAAAUGAAAGUAAUUUAAUUGAAUCAUUUAAAUUGCCUAGAAUUCUAAAUUCUUUAAAAUUUCUCAAUUACCUCAUCCAAACAUACUCUAUUGUUUGAAUUCACCUCAAAAUAAUCGAAUUCCCUCAAAACAUUACAUUACCUCAAAUAUUCCCCCAUCCAAACACACUAUAAGAGUAUUGGUUAAAAAAUUCAGUAGUAGAAACUUUUGAACGCAUUUUUCCAAAAUUCAAAAGUGACAAUAAUCUAUUUUAUAUGUAAAUGGAAUACAUAGCUUUUAGAUAAAUAAAAUGACAAUAAUCAUUAAAAAUUAACACACAAAUGAAGGAGUCAAUUUUGAACCACAAUCACUACCAGUUUUUAUUUAAAGAAAAUAUCUUUAUUUAUUAAUUUUGUUAGGUCUGCAGCAAUUUAACCUAAUUUUUUCCCGCUCAUUUUCUUUAUUAGGUUUUCAAGUAUUUAACCUAAUAAAUUUCAUCUAAAAAAAUGCAUCGCACCAAUUUCAUUUCUAUCCUCUUGCCUUUUUUUUUUUGAAAAAAAUAUUUUCUACACUUUUUUGAUGUUGCACGUUUGUUCUAGAAACUAUGAACAUAUCAAUGAUCACGUUUGAUGCAUUUUAUUUUAUACUUUUUUGUUUUAGAAACCAUGAGCAUAUCAAUGAUCACGUUUAAUGCCUUCUAUUUUAUACUUUUUUUUUUUUUACAAUAUUUUGUACACUUUUUUUUUUAAACCAAUUUUAUGCCUUUAUUUCAUUCCUAUCAUGUUGCCUUUUUUUUUUACAAUAUUUUCUACACUUAUUUAAUAUGUUUACAAAUAGAAUACCCUAAUUUCCAUGCAAACUCGGCUACCCUAAUUAUUGAUAUGAUUACCGAAUUUUCUUUUAUAAUAUUUUCAGAUUUCAUACAUUUUAUGAAGUGUUUUAUUUUGUCUACAAUGGAUUAUCACGUGUUAUUUUUUCACUAUUAUCUAUUAUAUAUUGCAUUUUAUUAUUCGUAUAUCAAUCUCUUUACAAUAAAUUUGAGCGGAGCACGGAUUAAAAAUAUAGUAUAGAUUUGUUUCUUAAAAAAAAUAGCUAUGAACACUCUGAUUCUAGCAUUUUCUAUGACCCUCGCUUUUUUAUUAGGUAAAAUAUAUAUAGUAUCAUACUUUUGAAAAAUGUCCACAUGUGAGUUUCAUACUAUACAAGAGUGGAUGUUGAAGAGAACAAUAAAAGGAGUUUAGUUUUUUUAGUAAUAUUAAAAAGAGAUCGUUACUGGCCUUUUUUUUUUUUUUAGCCAAGAGUUACUAGCCUUUCUGGUAUAUAUAUAUAUAUAUAUAUAUGAGGUUUGCUAAAAUAAACCCAUUAGUUUUUAUGUGGGAGUGUUUUAGCAAAGCUACACCUUAAGGUGUAUUGAACCAUUUUUUAGUUAUUCACUUGCUAAAAUACUCAUUCUAAAAAAUAAGUGGGUGUAUUCUAGCAAAUGCCUAUAAGAUUUGUUAGAACACACCCACUUGCUUUUUUUUAGAAGAUGUGUUAUAGCAACAUACACCUUAAGGUGUAUUUAUUAACUUUUUAGUUAUAACUUGCUAAAACACUCCCACAUAAAAACUAGUGGGUGUGUUCUAGAAAAUCCCUAUAUAUAUGCGUAUAGGGAUGGUAAAGUGGACCAACCCGUCAUGUUUAGGCUCGUUUUUCCUAAGUCCGCUUAAAACGGGAUGAGACGAGCUGAGUUAAAUUAUGUGAUCCAGUUCAAAAUCUCAACCUCCCCUUCUGUUUAGUGGCAGACAUACGAGUUGGUGGACUGGCCCACCAAACAUAAAAAAAAAAAAAAAAGAGAAAAAAAGGUUUUUAAAACUUAAUUGUUACAAAAAAAAAAAAAAAAAACUAUGUUGCUUAUAUCGUAUUUUAUUUUGAGUAAAUAGUCAAUUUUUCCCCUGAAAUUGUAAGUUUCAUCAAUUACCCCCCUGAAAUUAACAAAACUUCAAUUACCCCCCUGAAAUUUCACAACGUUAGUCAAUUUACCCCCUCCGUCAAAUUUUUCUGUGAGUGAACAUGACGUUUUGCAAAUACCCCCUGAAGUUUUGCACUUAUGUGCAAAAUGCCCCCAAACUUAAAAAUUUAUAUUAUUUUUUUCUUAAAAAGAAACAAUUAAUAGUUAAAUAUUAAAACUAACUAUUAAUUUUGGAAUUUGGGAAAACUACAUGCAUAUAUACAUCAAAAUAGGCUCCAAAAUGGAGGAAAAUAUGUAUUUUUUUAAGUGACAAUAAUAGGAUGAUUUAUGGAUUAAUAUUGGGGGUUGUGUAGUUUAAAUGGUUUGAGCAAAUUGUUGAAGGAGUUGGAGGAGUUAAAAGACUAAGAUGGUGAAGGAGAAAAUAUAAAUUUAAAUCUGAUUAUUAAUUUGUUUAUAAACCUCUAAAAAUAAUAAUUUGUCUAUUAGAAAUAACCAUUAUUGUCACUUUAAAAAUACACAUUUUUCCUAUUUUGAUGUAUAUAUGUAUGUUGUUUUUCCAAACUCCAAAAUUAAUAGUUAACUUUAAUAUUUAACUAUUAAUUGUUUGUUUUUAAGAAAAAAAUAAUAUAAAUUUUUAAGUUUGGGGGGCAUUUUGCACAUAAGUGAAAUUUCAGGUGGUAAUUGAAGUUUUGUUAAUUUUAGGGGGGUAAUUGAUGAAACUUACAAUUUCAAAGGGGAAAUUGACUAUUUCCUCAUUUUAUUUUUAAAAGAACAGACAUGACGCUGCCAAUACGAUCACUCCGCCUCAAAUUUGGCAAUGAAUACGACAUCGAUGAACAGAUUCAUUAAUGCAGCAAUACAAAGAGGAAUGGAAAAGCUAUUUGUGAAAGACGAAAAUUGUUCCUAUACUCAAAGUUCUCUCUGUUUGGAUAAUAUGCGGUUCAAUGGGUCUCAGGCAAGCUUGAUCCAGAAAUUAUGCGUCUAAAAAAUGUAUGAACUACGCUGGAUUUGUCUAUUUAAAUCUUAAAACCAAUUCGGUAUAUAUGGUUUCUAAUUUUAAGGGUAACAAGUCUGUGCUAAACAUACUCCCAAUCUACAACAUCUUAUUGCAUAUGCAUAUUUUUGGGAUAAUUUAAUGAUUUAAUUCAUUUUUAACUCUGUGUGCCAAAGGGGAUGUAAACUUAUAUUAUAUUUGAUUGAUGAGGACUAUAAUAUAUUUAUAAAUCCAAGUUUUAUAUGUUAGAUUCUACAUAUAGAAUUUGAUGGUGAUUGAAAGACAUGUUCUUUAAUGGUGUUUUGAUUAUUUCAAUCAAAUACUAAUAUUCGUGUCUUUUCUCAAGUUCGACAUUAAAGAAUGAACAUGUAGUUUUAUACUAGAAAAGAAACUUUUUUAAAAUAUAUUUUGGCUAGGGAACGAAAAUGCCCUGUGUCCAUUGUGGACCAUGUUUGAGAACCGUAAAAUUCAAUGUUCAAACUAGAGCAUGAAAACUUGAAUGUUUGGAAUGUAAAGAAUGGAGGAAGGGAGAGAAGAAAGGAGUUUGUUUCUUGACAGAUCAAUAUUUGAGAAGAAUGAACUUGAAGGUUUCAUUCCUAUUUCCUACAAGCAUUUGGACUGUCUGGUUUGGUGUGAGCUUGCAGCAGAAUUUUGGGUUCAAUAUCGUAAUGAAGGAAUUCUAAGUUGUAAUAGUCAAGGCAGAAUUAUUGGAGUAGUGGUAGUGGUGGUCAGGGCCGUCCCUAUAAAACCGGAGGCUCGGCUCUCAGAGUAAAAAUAGGUUCAUGGUAAAAAGAAUGCACAAUUUUUUAAAAAGAUUAAUCUUCUAGUUAAAUUGAAAAUUACACUCGUAUAAUUAUUAUUAGCCACUGAAAUCAAAAUUAGCAAUUAUUUUUACUAAAGACGUGUUUUUAAACUUAGAAAUAGAAACAUAAAACAUGAUUUUUUACUUAGAAAUUGAAACAAGAAACAUUUUUAUUUUUUUUUUUUGAGUGGGGGUGGGGAUAUUGAGCAAUAAUUUUUUCUUGAGGCCCUUCACUUUGGAACAUCCAACUCGGUUGAGCUCUUUACACUCCCCAAAGUCCGGCCCUGGUGGUGGUCAGUCAUCCAUUAAGAUUAUCAAGAAAGCAGUGAAACUAUGACCAUUUGAGGCUCUAAUGAAAUGCUUUCUGUUUCUCGACCCUUUACACCCUUUACAAUUUGAGUGAUGCUAGUUUUUUUUUUAAAGAAGUUAAAUUAGUCACUAAAAUUGACACAUCGAACUUGAGAUCUUGAGGAGAAGUACACUCAUGAGCCCCAAGUCAAUACCACCAUACUAAACAAGUGGUUUUGAGUGAUGCUAGUUGAAUACGUGAGUAAAAUUUAUCAUGAUAAAAAAAAUAAAAAUAAGUGAUAAAAUAUUUUGGCUUGGUUUUGUAGUUUCUUUUGUGUAUAAGAAUUUUCAAUUAUAAAAUACUUCUUCCGUCCCAUAAUAACUGAAUCAUUUGCAAAAAAAUAUUGUCUCAAAAAAGUUGAUUCAUUUCACUUUUCAAUACAACAAUAAUUACCACGAAGGUAUUACCUGAGAACCUUAUUCAUUCGCAAAAUCCGCAGGAAAACAGAUUUCCUGUGGAAUUUUCAUCGAAAUCCGCUGGAAAUUACGCAGGAAAAUUGAGAGUUUCUUAGAGUGAAAGUUGUAUCCCCCGCAUCUUUAUUGAAGUUAUUCCAAAGUAGGUCACUAUCUUACAUUAUUUCCAAAGUCUUUAUAACUCCAAUAAACAGUUAUACAACAACUUAAUUUUUUAUUUUGUUAUUAACAAUGAAAGCCUAAAAAAAACAUAAUUUAUUAAAUGAACUAUCAACAUCUACACAAAAUGUAAAAUAAAUAAUUCCUAGUUGUGUAUAAUAUUAAUUAAAUUAACUAUUAACAUCUAACUUACAAUUGAAAUAAUAAUUAAGAUUAUGUGUUUAGAAUGAAAAGAAUGGAUACAUGUACAGAAAAAAAUAUAUAUAUAAAUGAUUACAAAAAUGUAAUAUUAAUCAAAUAAUUAUUUAAAAUUUUAGCCAUCAAUUUAUUAUUUAAAAAAAUGAAUUAUCUAUUAAAUAAAUUUGGUUAAAAAAAGUUUAGGUGAGCUCUCGAUACUUACAUAUCACCCAUCAAAGAUGUACUUACAUCGAUAGUGGCAAUUGAACUCACGACCUUGUGCAUGAAAACAAAAGAUAAAAGGGAGAAUAUACAAACAAUACAAAUUUAAAGUCGAUAAAAACAAAAGGGAUAAUCUGCAAACAAUACAAAUUCAAAGUCUCUAAAAAAAAGGGAGAAAUUUGCAAACAAAUUCACAUACAAAUAUAUAUGACUAUAUUCAAGUCUUUGGAGUACCCGUGUCUCCAAAUCUACAAUGUUGACCAGUGGCAACCACCAUUCUAAAUUAAUCAAAUUUCCAUGUUCAUCAUUCUUUUCAAUUACAAGAUAUCAACAGUUGCUAGAUUUUCUGAUAUUUGGAGGAGCGUGCAAUUAUAAUUGGAUUGGAAACCCUAGUUCACCAUGAUGUUGUACGAGCAAUUGCUUUAAUCUUCUUUAUUUUGCAACUGUGAUCAUGUCUUCCUUUCAACCAAAGACAAGCCUCCUCUCGAAGCUGUGGAAUCCAUUAUGGCUCUCCGUUCUCAAUUUGGGGUAUAUGAUGCAUGUACAAGGUUGGCUUAAAGAAUGAACAUUGUGGACCAUGUUUGAGAACCCUAGAAUUAGGUUAGAAGUUUCACUGGAUUCUAAAAUGCAAUGUUCACACUAGAGCAUGAAAACUUGAAGGUUUGGAAUA